rnacentral:lncRNA from 1 species
GGGAAAGGACAUUGACUUCAAAGGGCAAGACUGUAAGUUCUUGCCAUUUGGUGCUGGAAGAAGAAUGUGCCCAGGGUACAGUUUAGGCCUCAAGGUUAUCCAAUCUAGUUUGGCCAAUCUUUUACAUGGAUACAGAUGGAAGUUGCCAAAUGACAUGAAGCCUGAGGACCUUGACAUGGAAGAAAUAUUUGGGCUUACUACACCAAGAAAGAUCCCACUUGUUGCCAUUGUUGAGCCUCGGCUUCCUCGUAAUCUUUAUUCACUAUGAUUCACUACGUGUAUGUUUGAUCUCCCAGUAUCAUCAUUAUCAACUUGUGUUCAAAUAAAUCAGCUCUGCAAGUUUAGAAUUUGUAGCUGCGCUUAUAUGUGUUUGCCAAUUGCCACAACGCUACAAACCCUUGUAGUUGGUGCAUGGCAUAUGCGUAACCACUGAGAUUGUUAUGCUUAUUGAAGUCCAAAUUUGUUCGCAAUUAUGUGAAACUGUGAAUACGCACACCCCUGAUGUUUCAAAUACAUUCUAUAACAUUCUGAUGCUAAUUUAAAUCUGCAAUAGUAGGUUCACAGUCAAAGCAAUGUGCUCUCUGCCAUCUUUCCUCUUAGCAUCUUCCAUCAAUUCCUGUGCACCUCUAAGCCAUGCCACUGGAUUGGUGCUACUUUCCGUACUUGUUGGGAGGAAGAGAGAAAGAGAAAAAAAAAAAAAAAAAGAGCGGAGGGUGAGGUGGCUGCGGCAGUGAUGGCAUGGGAAGGGAGGGAAGAGGAAGAGCAGCAGUGGUGUGGUGCGGAGAGAAAGAGAAGAAGAGAGGAGAGAAAAGAAAAAAGAAAAAAAAAGGAAAAAAAAAAGCAAGAUUUGGAAUUUUUUCAAACCUUCAAAUGCACAAAAGUUUUCUUACUAGUUUUAUAGUAAAGCAUAGUAAAAUGUUAAACUAACGCCUAGAAAAUAGCAAUCAUUUUGGAAACAAACCCUGAGAUUUAUUAUAAUAUCACUUAGCUUCUCUGAAGUUUUUAAAAUCUUACUUUCUUCCCCUACCAACUUGGGAAGAUCAAGUGUUCCUAUCAAAGGUCACAAAUUUACAACAAUUACUGUUGCACUCUUUAUGACUAUUUAAUUGAAAAGACCAAAAACUAUAGAUGAAAAAGAUAACCAAAUUGCUAUCCAAUAUUGGUGGAUAUUUCUUUGUAUCAACGUGGUGGUGGAAUAGUAAAAGACAUGGGUAAACUAAAUUCUAGUUAAAGACAUGGGUAAUUUUUGCAGAAUAGUUAUGAGGAAAUCAAGAAAUUCUUUUAGAAAAUAUGUUCUAAUAUAGGAUAUAAUAUAAGUUAUACUAAAAAUUAAAAUAACCUCUUUAUACAUGUGGUUUGUAAUAUAAAUCCUACUUAUAGAAAAAAUUAUAUAAAUAAGUCAGAAUUUAAAAAAUUAAUUAGAAAUGUUCUAAUGACCAAAUAUAUCUCUAGGAAUAUUCUUUUUUUUGUUAGAACAUCAUUUUUUAUACAAGGUAAUAGUUAUUGUACAUCUACAAGAUUAUUCGUUAUUGCAUUUAUAGUUGCUCAUAUUUUCAACUUUUUACUUUUCAACUUUAUUUUAUUUUUUAUUGUUGUUGUUCGCUUAAUAAGUAGGAUAGCAUAAGAGUAAUAUUAGAACAAAAAUUUUAUCUUUCUUGCAUUUCCUUCAAAGGGGUUAAAAUGUAUGAAGAAUAUGAAAACAAGAGAGGUAUGUGAGAUUUUAAAAAUUGAAAGAGUUCUAAGUGAUAUUAUGAGAAAUGUCAUGCGAGGUUUCUGAAAUUAUCCCCAAAAAAAUCAUCCAAAUGAACCUUCUUGUUGUUGCAAAAUCUUUGCUUCGGAAUCCUAGUGCCAUAUUUCCAUCUUCUUUAACUCUCCGUCUCUCCACCAAAAAAAAACAAAAAAGAAGCAAUUUUGGUAGCGAGCUACUUUGAAUAAGAUCGUGAAAUAAUUGCAUGUAGAAAUUUGACAAGAAGUGAAAGCAAUCAAAUUUGCAAUAUGUCAACAUAUAUUUUUAUAUGAAAACGUAUUCUAGUAUUCCAUGAGCCAUUUUGUCUUGCCUUUCGUUCUGCUAGGAAAUGGCCAAAUCCUCCUAAUAUUGUUACUUCCCAAUAAUUGGGUAAGCAGAUAAAAUAUGGCUUUGUCGGCCAUGUAGCACGACGGGGAGGUCCAGAAUAUUUUUUUGAAAAAAAAUGGCAGAGGGUCGUCGCGCCCUGGCUUUUUUUACCACACUGUCGCGCCAACGUGAUGCAACGAACCUGGCAGCUAUGCGACGAGCCUUUUUUUUUUUCAAAUGUUUUGUAAAAAAUGUGUAGGUUCCGUUAAGUUUUUUUUUUUUUUUUGGAUAAGGCGGUUUUGGUUUCUUAAGUUUUAGCAUGUUUAGGAUUUACAAUUUAUUAUUUAGGGUUUAGGAUUUGUUAAGUUUGUUGAUAAAAGGGUUUGGAUAUGGCCAUUGUAGUUAAUAAAGGAUUUAUUAAAUUUGUUAAUAUAGUCGAUAACUUACAUAAAAAUUAAAUGAAACAUAAUUGUAUUGAAGAAAAAAAUGAGUACAUGAAUCGCAGUUUUUGUAUUUUAGAAUUUAUAUAAAAUGCAAUAGUGUAAAAAAAUUAAUAAUAUAUUGAAAAAUUAAUAGUUGUUUAUAGAAUGCACACAUAAUGAAAGUACUUUUUUAGGUCGUUAUUUGGUAUACGAUGGUACUUGAUACUUAUAUUAAAUGAUUAAACCAGUUAAAGUGGUCAUAAAUUGACUUGUACUUCUACAUUUAAUAAAUUAAUGGAUCCUUUUAUCCAAUUAUAGAAUUUCAUCAAAUAAUUUGUACUUUUGUAUUUUGAAAAUAUGUAACGUUAUUAAACUUUAAAAUAAUUAAACAGGAAAAGUAGGACAGUUAAUUAAAUGUCAAGAUAGUAUGCAGUAUAUUGAAUGGAUGGGAUUUAAAUCUAAGUAGAAGACCGGACAAUAUCAACACUUCGGGGUUUCUUGUCUUUAUCCUUGUCUUCGGCCUUCUAACAAGGUGUGGUUGGGGGAUACGUUUGUUUGGAUAGAGGAUUAUUUAUCAAAAUUUAUUUACUUACAUCAUUAUUAUAAUUUUUAACACAUCUUUUUAUCUUUUUAAUUAUUUUUUUAUCUCAUGUACAUCAUAUCACAAAAAAUACUAUAAUAAAAAUAUCUCAAGUCGUAGUCUCCAAGAUCCAGCUAACCGGCAGAAACAGUAUUGAAGAUUGUCUAGCUACUUGACUUCAAUAUUGAAGAUUGUCCGGCACAUAAAAUCCCAAGUCGUAGUCUCCAAGAUCCAGCUAACCGGUAGAAACAGUAUAUGAAGUGACGACGAGGUUCUUGAUAAAUCCAUUUAUGACAGCACCAUGUGCAACUCAUGAUAAAUCCAUAGGCUGUGAAUCUCCAUUCGGUCAUAAUUAAAUAUGAUAUAGCUUAAAAUAGGCAGACGGAUGCAUAAUACAUGCGUUGAUUAAGUGAUGAUUCAGAACCUUUUCGGGUUCGGGCCUUUUCUCUUUCCAUUAUGUAGUGGGCUAUCUUAUCGACAAAAAAAAAAAAAAAAAAUCUCCAUUCGGCCAAAAAUCAUAAACUCAUGGGCCAAAAAAUUGAUAAACAAGUUGAGUACUACGCUUUACAUCUUUCUCUGUAAUCAUUUUCACGAGUUUGUCAUGUAGCGUGAUAUUAUUGCGAAAGAAAGUUUUCUCUAUUAUGACAGGACCAUGUGCAACUCCUGUCAGACUCAGGAGCUUUGACCUUUACGACUGGAUGUGUCGGCCGAAGGAAAUUACAUGGAAACCUUUAUGGUGGAACCUGCCUAUGGUAGAAAGGCCGGCAGAGAGACACGUGUUGACGUUAUAUACAAUUCAAACGGAGACGUUAAAUUGUUACGCAGCGUGUGAAGAGAAAAUAUACGAGAAUCGUCUGCAGAUGCAACCAAAAAGCACACUGACUUCCGUACGAGUUAGACCAGAAAGUGUUAUUGCAUGUUAAAAUAAGAGGCAUUUAUGUAUUUGCAAAUGUACCCAUUACCAAUGGAAAAAUGUUGCAAAUGCCUUGGACAAAAAAUGUGAAUAAAGAAGGUACCGAAAUUUUAAGAAAUAAUAAAUGAUUAUCGCAUACGCGUGGGGGAUAAUAAUUUGGAAGAAGAAAAAGCGGAGGUAAAUGAAAGGAUUCAAGCCUUCAUUAUAUUUAGGGCAAAUUAUCCAAUUGGCCCUUUAACUCUUUGUCUAGGUAAAAUUAAGCCCCUCGUCUAUUUUUUGCUGACUUUAAGCCCUUGAACUUGUAAAAUGGGAAAUUCGUGGCCCUUUUAGCCAGUUUCUCCGGUUUUGCAACCGGAGGACCAAUUCACACGAACGCCAGUGUGCUUCUUUCAAGGGCAAUUUUGUCCUCAUAUUCUAAGCAAAAAGGGCACACAUAGUAGACGUUCUAACAAAAAAGGACAAAAAAAAAAAACAAAAUGCUGCUAAUCCCUCCCUUACUCAUGGAGCCUGUAGCAGGCAUAUGACCCAUGACAAUAAAGUAAACAAAUAAUUCAAAAAAAAAAAGAAGAAACAAUACGGAUUAAAACAAUUAAAUUAAAGAAACUGAACAUUACAUCCAAUGGGCAAAAGGGCUUUGAAAAAAGAUGAACUCAGAGACAAAGAUCGUAUUUUUACCAUACUGAUGGCUAAAAGCGUGCAAGGAAAAUGGAGUUACCGGAAUCGAAGUCAUCGAGUUUGUGAAGCUUGACGGAAUCAGAAGUAGACUGCAAAAUCAGGGUUCGAACACUCUGGCGAUUCCAUUCUUCGUGUGGAUAUAUAUUGAAUUUCUUGAGGUGAAAAAGCAGUUGUUGAGAAGAUGAAAUGGGCUUCGAUUUUUGCUUCAGCCAUUGCUGGCCUGCUGAUUUUGCUACAGCAGGUAAAAAAACCAUGGCUGGCUUUUUCCCUAUCUUUCUUUUCUGUUCCUUUUAAGGAUUUGUGGAGCCGAUCAUUUGCUUCAACUGCACCCUUUUUCUUUUUUCUUUUCUUUUCUUUUCUUUAUUUUCAUGUCAUGCCAAGUCACUAAUUUGAUCGCGACAACAGGCAACGAAGUUUGUUUGACAAAAGAGGAUGAGGUUUUUUUUUUUUUUUCCAAUGAAAAACUUGGGAUUUCAGCUUAAAACUUAACAAAUCAAAGCGCUUGUUAAUUGAAUUAUGCUUGCCUCACUCCUCUCUGGGUUUGUCGUCAUAAUCGUCGGAGACAUCGGAGACGACGUCGGAGAUAUGAUUCUUGGAAGCGGCCGAGACACCGGUCCAGUGGACUUUGCGGGUGUGGGUGACGGGGUGGCAGGGUUUUAAGAGGAUUUUUGAGAAGGAAGAGCAGAAGGGCUUGUCAUGAGGAGGGGUUGUGAGCGGAGAGAGCUUCUGGGAGGCCGCGACGGCCGCGGCUGCUGCGGUGGCGACAAAGACGGCCAUGGGAUUGCGUGGGGGUUGCGCAAGGAAGAGUAAGGCAGGUAAGGGAAAUCAAAUAGAAAGGUGGACUAUGUGUGCCCUUUUUGCUUAGAAUAUGAGGACAAAAAUGCCCUUGAAAGAAGUACACUGGCGUUCGUGUGAAUUGGUCCUCCAGUUGCAAAACCGGAGAAACUGGCUGAAAGGGUCACGGGUUCCCCAUUUUACAAGUUCGAGGGCUUAAAGUCAGCAAAAAAUAGAUGAAGGGCUUAAUUUUACCUAGACAAAGAGUUAAAGGGCCAAUUGAAUAAUUUGCCCUUAUAUUUAUAUACAUAUAUAAAUUUAGUACCCAAGUGUUCAGCUUAAGCAUCCAGGAAAAUGGUCCCAUAACUAUCGAUACGGUAAACAACACAGUUUUGGAUAUGAUAUAAUAGGUUCUAAAAAUUUUAGCGACCAUUUGAUUACCCGUUAGACCUAUCCACUUGAAUAGGAUUAUGGGUAAAAAUAAGGGAGUAAAUUUGUCAUUCAAAAUAGUAAGUUAGCGUAAUAAAUUAGUAACUUUUGCAGUCGAAAAGGUAAAUUGUAAGUAAUAUGAAACAUACUUUUUAAAGAGAUAAAUUACAAUAGUAUAUCCCAAAUAUACUUUUGAGGGAGUAAGUUUAUUUGAAGUAAAAAUAUGUUUUUAUAUAGAAAUAAUGAGUUUUAGUUAUAACAUAGUAAAUUUGAUUAAUGACAAAAAACAUGCUAAUUUAUGGCCAAAAUAUUGUAUUAUGCUUAAAAAACUUAUACGAAGCCUAUAUUUUAGAGUUAUUUGAAAUAACACAAAAAUGUAUUAUUACUGAUUAAAACUGAGUACGUUACUUAGUCAGUACAGUUAUUAUAGUUGUAUACAUACUUGAUGGUAUGUGUAUAAAUAAGCAUUUUUGAGAUUUAUGGGAAAAUUGAUUUUUUCUUUUGCAGUUUAAAAAAAAGGUAAGCGAAAAUCUUUUUUCUCAGAGCACAAAAAUCCACAAGUCAAAGUUCUUGGUCUAAAGGGGAAAGAAACAUUCUGAAUAUCAUUGUUUACAGUACUAAAUAAAUUAGAUGUAAAAUGCUCGUUAAAAGCAGGUACGUUGACAUAUAAUAAAGGAAAGACAUAAAGAGCAGGCCAUUUACGAGAAAAGUUGUCAUUCAUAAAAAUAGCAACGCUUUACGGUUUUCUUAUCAAUCUUGCAACGUAUGAGCAAAAUGGCAAUAAUUAAAAUAGUAUUUUAUUCGAAUUAUACAUAUUUCAUUAAUUUUUUUCCAUUUAAAAAAAAUGAAUGAGAAUCUUUUAUGAGAAAGCACAUAAGUCAAAGGAAUGGUGUAAAAGGGAAAAGAAUAGCAUAUACGUACAGUACCUAUAGUUUAUGUUCGAAGGACUAUAGUGCUAUUUUUGAAAAAUAUCCUGAAAAAUAUGUAAUCGAAACCGAACCGAUUCUUCACUAUUUAAAAUGUCAAAUCUGUGAUUGUGUUGUAACUGUUAUUCAUUGUUAUCGUAAAGUAUCAUUUUUCCAUAAAAUUUCACCUCUUUAACACCAAUUUUCCCAUACACCAAUUUAUUUAUCAGAUAAAAUACAUGAAAAUUCGGUUUUGAAUAAAACAGUAGCUGUUUAUGGCUUUCCUCCAUUAUAAGAACAUAGUACCCAUUUUUGCAUAAACAAAUUUAUUUAUCGGAUGAAAUAAAAAUAAAUCCAUUGUUCAAUAAAACACUAACUCUUUAUGGCUUUCCUCCAUUAUAAAUCACUAGUUCUUUUAAUUGGAAGGAAAUCACAUGUCAAAUUUCAUUUGAUUUGUGGAUGGAAGGCUAUGGAAGCUGUAGGCCCCGAAGCAAAAUUAAUUGGUCCACAAAAAUUGCCAAAUUAGUUUUCUUUUUCCAAAUUUCAGUUAUGUGAGUAAAUGAAAGCUUUUACAACCAUUAGUUCUUUUAAAAUAUUUUCAAGCGUAACUGCAUGCACACAUUCUAUAUUCAUUUGUCUCUUUUUCAGUUUUUAUACUCCAUCUAGGAUGUCUAAUCAUUAUUUCGUGAAAAAGGAAAAAAAACUAUGUAUAUUUUUUCUUUAUAAUUAGUCAAUUACAAAUUGGUAAAGUUCUAGCCAAUUUCAUCCAUUAUCUAACUUGCAAGAAAGGAAUAGAUAUCUCCUAGAUACAAAGUUCAAAAGGAAUUUCUAGUCUUUUAUAAUCACGAUCACAUGAUGUUUCGGACUUUCGGUGGAUAUCUAUUUGUCCAUUUUCCGUUAAAGAAACUUUACUUAUUACAAUCUUUUCUUUACACUCCUCUAAAAUAGUAUGAAGUAUUACCAUAAUUCCUAACAUAUCAUUAUUAAAACGAGGGUUAAGUAUUAUUGGAAAGUAAUCAUUAAAUAGUAUAUGAUUUAAUUAUUCUUAAUAACUUUCAAAGUAUGUCUUACAUUCAUUAAAUUUAUUGUUUUAGUUCAUUUAUAUCCAUGUUUUUUGGAAAAUUAAAGUUCGAAGAUAAAAAGAAGUUAAUGCAAAUUAAUGCACGGCUGAAUAACUGGUGGUCUAAUUCUAUUGCUUGCUUAUUAACAAGAAUGACCACGCCAACACUACUACAAUAAUACACUCAUACUUUUGCGUUUCUUAAUUACUUGCAUUACUUAUUCUUUCUUCCCAACAAUUCUACAGCCCAUAAUCAAUUUUAAUUCAAUAAUCUUCAUACAACUCUGAACAUAUAACUAUAUUUAAUAUAAAUUCUUAAGUUCAUAAACAAUCAUUAGUAUCAAAAUCAUAAAGUUGUAUCGCACAAUAGGAUGCUCUUCGCAUCAUUAUCAGAAGUAAUUUCAAUUUCGUCGCAUUUGGCUAUAGACGUCAUUUUCUGUGUGACUUCCUUCUUCUGACACGUAUCCACUUUGUAUGGUUGGAACUUCCCGCUAUAGACCGAUCUGGUAGGUCGUGGCCAAUAAUGGGAUAGCAUAGUUUUUUUGCCCCAUCACUUAAGCACGGCAAGAAUUUUUUUUUUUAAAAAUUUUAAAUAGCUGCAACAAGUUAUUAACAAAAGAUAAUAUGCUAGCGCUAUUCCCGUUGCCUCUAGAGGAUUUUUCAGCCAACAAACUCCUUCAACUCCCUUCCUCAAGUUCUUUCUAGGGUUCUUUCCAUUUGUUUCUGUAAUACAUUUUUUUGACAAAUUUUCAAUCCUAUUAUUUUCUCAGUAGAAGUAUCUUUCUUUCUUAGUGAGAGUUUUUGCUUUUUUUUUUAUAUAGUUUUUAUCAGAUUUAAGUUUAUUCAAGUCUAAACUUUCUCGCAGGGCUUCAAAAUCUGUCCGGGGAAGGCUUACAAAUCAUUUGCAACUACAGAGAUUUAUAUGCAUUUAAUUGUAAGAAAAUUUGGAGCUUUCUAGUAUUUUUUUUUUUCUUAUUGGUUUCUCUGAUUUGAAGGAAGUCACUUCUUUUUGCAUUUCCAUUGCGUCUUUUUCAUAUAUUUGUUGCUAUUUGUACAACUUUUCUGUGAUUAAAUAAAAUUCCCUUCCUCGUUAAAAUAAAUGAAAGAAAAUAUGAAGGAGAAAUUAAAUUGAUCUAAUUGACAAUAUGUCUUUAUCACUAGAUGCCUUCUCAGAUAUUCUCAAAAACUUCCAUACUCUAACUAUCAUUAUUUUACCACAAUAGUACUUCUUUAACAAUUACUAGCAUUUCUAUGUUGUCAUUUGAACUGCUUCCUUUCCAUCUUUGGUACACUUAAAUUUGCAAUUAUCUUAUGAAAUUCUUAAAUUCAGUAACUUUCAGCUACAUGAUAUGGUGAGAGAUAUUUGUUUGACAUGAUAUAAACCUAAUAAGAAAAGAAUUCAAUUUGAAAACACACGUAAGACAAUAUAUAUAGGUCCAUGUACAUAAACCAAAGAACAAAAUUAUAUCAAUUCAGUAAGCACAUUUAAUAAUAUUCCCUGGAGCCUUAAAGCAUAAGUUAAACAUUUUAUCUGGAAAUGUCUCCUAAGAAUCUUAUACGUGAUGAAGUAAAUAGGCAGAGAACUGGGAAACGGAAAGACUUGAGCAUAUGCUUUUUUUUUUGGUGAAAUUGCAUAACAAAUAUUAGGGGUGGGCACGGGUCGGGGUACCCGCCCCUAAUACGUUUUGGCUGACCCGACCCUAAAAUAUCGGAUCAGCCAUUUUGCGACCCUAACCCGCUCCUAAUAUUUUCGGGUACCCGCUAUUCGGGUACCCGAAAAAAAGGGGCGGGUCAUAGGGUACCCGCCCCUAAAAAAAAAUUCCAAUAAAAAAUAUUUUUCAUUUAAUAUCAACAUAUUUUUCAAUAAAAAAAAUGUUUUCUGAUUAACAUUGGUAGAGAUAUUAUAAUCAAAAUCCAUACGUCAUCAUUCUCACACAUUUCAUCCAAUAAUCAAACCGAUCUCAUAAAUUUAGUACAUAUUAGAAUUAUAAUAUCUAAUAGACAAAAUGAAAUUUCAUGAUAAUUUUGAGUACAUCACCAUUCUCACGCAUUUCAUCCUUUUAUAACAUAACAAAUACAAGGAUAAUAAGUAUUUGGCAAAUUUUUCAACUUUCUUAAGGAUGUUAUGGUACAAAACUGCAUCCAAAAUGAGUCGAUUGUGGAAUCAAAUCCGGAAAAGAAUUGAACAGAGCUAAUAAUUUUUGAAGUAUAAUCAAAAUAAUCAUGAAAAAUUUUCACCAACUUUCUUACAUCUUUGGAAUAGACCUUAUUGCAUUAAAGGUGAUGAAAAAGAAAAAUAAAUUUCUUGCACUAAAAUAAAGGAGACAAAGUUAAGAGACACAAUUGCAAUAAAACAAAUAAAUAAAUGAAAGACACAAAUGUUUUAAUUAUCUAGCUAAUAGAAAAUUGGAGCUCCAAACACAAAUUUUUGAUUGAAUUGAUGAAAAAUUUGCAAGAAAGAUCGAUGGAAGUAGAAUAAAAAUGAAAAAGGAUGAAAAGGAUGAACAAUUUUUAUGAUAGAGUUUUGUUUUGUUCAUUUUAGUUCAGGUUUCACCAAGAAUAUUCGUUCUUUUAAGACAAGAUGAGGAGAGGCGGAUCAUAUGAGAUUAGAAUAUGAAGUUGUGAACCACUUUACUUACACUUAGGAUUAAAAAUUAUAAAAAUAUGAUGAACCCUUAUUUUUUUAAUAUUUAUAUAAUAUACCCUGCGGGUUGGGUACCCGCGGGUUUUUAUUUUAUUGAUCCGUAUCCGUAUCCGUUUUUACGGGUACCCGAUCCGCAUCUGCCCCGCUAAGAAAAAUCGGAUCGGAUAUCCUAUUUUUCGGAUCGGAUCGGAUCGGGUUCAUCGGGUUUCGGAUCGGAUCGGAUUUUUUGCCGACCCCUAACAAAUAUGGUAAGUAGCACCAAUCCAGUGGGAUGGCCUAGGAAAUAGAAGCAACCUCUGCCAUUGAUGAGGGGAGUUGAUGGAAGAAAACGCAUUGCUUUGAACUGUAAACCUGUGCAGAUUUGCAAAGAAAGGAGGUUGUUCAAGUGCCAAUUCAGUGGCCAUGACACCACCUGGACGGUCGGACCAUUCAGUACUGACAGAGCCAUGUUAAGACAAGGGUGGAGCCAUGUUAGAGAUCAAUAAUCAGAGGCUUACAAAAUUUCGUAAUUUUUCAAUUUAGCUCACAUUUGCACUGACAAAUUUUGUAAAAAUUUAUUUUGCUCUCGCAUUGCCCCUUAGAGCAUCUACAAUGGUUUACACCCUUUAGGGUGUAAUCCACAUGCCACAUCAACAUUCCACUAUCUCCUCUUUUUAUUACACUCUUAUCCACAAUGGAUUACACUCACAGAAUAUAAUAGCAUAGGUCCACAUGCCACAUCAGCAUUCCACUAUCUCCUCUUUUAUUAUACUCUCUCCUCUCUUUUAUUUUAACAAUGCACAACUCAUAACCCAUAAAUAAAUAAAUUUAUUAUUUUAAAAAUGGUUAUUUUUAAAAAUAAAUUAUUAACGUGACACCUCAAACGUGAAAAUAUCAUAAUAAUCCAUUAUUCAUUAAUAAUACCCUAUCUACUGAAUUUAACUCCACGACAUACUAUUAAAAUUAAAUAAAAUACAAAUAAUAAUAUAACGAAUAGUAAUUUUUAUUAUUAUUGCCUCCAAAUCGUUCCCAAAUAUGAUCGAAUAAAUUGGACAGAAGUUGAUGAUGUACUUCCCGAUUAUGUAGUUUCGCAUUCCUCUAAAGAUAAUGGUGAAAAUUUUCGACUUGAGUUACAGGGAUCGUUGGUUCUUCAUCAUCAUCAUCCCAGUUUUUUAUUGCAUCUCCCUCAUCCUCGACAAUCAUAUUAUGCAAUAUGAUGCAUGUGUACACUAUAUCUUUCAAUUUAGCUUUAUGCCAAAAUCGAGCUGGGCCACAUACAAUUGCCCAACGAGAUUGGACCACUCCAAAAUCUUGCUCGACGUCUUUGCUUGCAGCCUCCUGUAUUUGCUUAAAUUUGAUCCUCUUUGGAUCUUUAGGAGAUGUAAAACUUUUAACAAAUGUUGUCCAUUCUGGAUAUAUGCCAUCUGCUAGACAAUAUCCUUUGUUGUACUGUGUGCCGUUUACCAUAAAUUGAAUAUCAGGAGCAUAUCCGUGUAACACGUCAUUAAAUAGCGGAGAUUGAUUGGAGUACAUUAAUGUCAUUGUUAGACCCCGCGAUGCCAAAAAAUGCAUGCCAUAUCCACAAAUCUGCUGCUGCAAUUGCUUCUAGCAUUAUUGUGGGAGAUCCUUGAUCACUUCGAGUAAAUUGACCUUUCCAUGCCACAGGACAAUUCUUCCAUUGCCAAUGCAUGCAGUCAAUGCUACCAAGCAUUCCGGAGAAACCAUGGCGCUCAGAAUGCAAUUGAAGUAAAUGUUCAACAUCAUUAGUAUUAGGCCUUCUCAAGUAUUGUGCCCCAUAAAUAUCGAUCACGCACCAACAAAAUUGUGACAAACAUUCGAUUGCAGUGCAUUCACCCAUCCUUGUGUACUCGUCCAAUUGGUCAGCAGGUGUUCCAUAUGUUAACUGAUGGAUAGCUGCUGUGGUUUUUUUGAAGUGGAGAAAGUCCUCUUUUGCCGGCUGCAUUGACCCUCAUUUGAAAAAACUCUGAAUGAUUUGUCAUCGACUCCACAAUUCGAAGGAAAAACAUGUCUGACACCACGCUCUCGAUUGUAAUAUCUUCGACUGUGUGGACGGAUGUUACGACUUGAAGAUGUAUGUUGCGUUUGCCAUUGCUCCAACAUCUUCAUAAUUUGAUCAUCAAUGUCAUCCAUCAUUUCAUCGGCUAAAAACUUUUAAAUUUCUUCUAUAAGAGAGAUAUCAGGAUAUUAAUACAUUUUUUGAGUGUGUUGAGUAUUUGGUGGCAAUGUAUUGCGUCUUGCCAAUACAUAUAUAGUGCUAGUGUUAUAAUAGCUAGUUUUCCAACGGCUCAUUUUUCUAAUGGCUAAUUUUCCAACGGCUAGUCUUCUGACUUAUUAUAAUGAAUAUAUAUAAUAUAUAUUUAUAUAAUAUAUUUUAUUAUAAUAUUAGUAUAAUUAUAUAAUAUAUUUAUAAUUAUUAUAUACAUAAUAAAAUAUAUUAUAUAAAUAUAUAUUACAAUUAUUUAAUUAAGUAUAAUUAUAUUUAUCUAAUAUAAAUUAUAAAUUUAUGAAUAUUAUAUUAAUUUAAAAUGAUGAAAUUUAAAAUUUCGUUAGCUUGGUUUCGAAUCCAUGGUCGGAUUUCAUAGUUUGGUUUCGAAUCCAUGACUGGAUUUCAUAACCUGGUUUCAAAUCCAUGGUUGGAUUUUAUAUGUUGGUUUCGAAUCCACAGCUGGAUUUCAUAACCUGGUUUCGAAUCCAUAGCAGGAUUUCAUAACUUGGUUUCAAAUCCAUGGCCGGAUUUUAUAGCUUGGUUUCGAAUCCAUGGUCGGAUUUCAUAUCUUGCGUCUAGUUACUCCAUAAAUGUACUACAUAAGUGAUUAAUAUGAUACAACAUGGUUUUUUCUGCAUCUUAUUGCACCGUAUAGUAAAAUAAAAUUAAAAAUAGACUAAGAAAUAUUAUAUUUGGCUUUUAGGAUGGAGCACAUUUGCUCAUGAAUUCGAAGCUGUUAAUCGGUCAUACCCGUGGUAUCCUUGAGUAUUUCAUAAUCACUUUGAAAAUUAUAACUUUCUAACUUAUUUGCCAAGUUUUCCAUAGCCUGCAAUUUUUCUUCUUUUUGCUGCAUCAACACUUUUCGGAUUUGAUCAAAUUCCUCACUCACAUUUUCCUCGUUCACAUUUGAUUUUGCCUUUUUCUUUCCCUUCUUUGAUGCUUUUUGACCAGGUGGGUGAACUUCACAUGCUUCAUUAUCAUCGAUGUCAAAAUUUGAAUUCGUAUUGGAUAAAGAAGUGUAUGCCCCGCUUUCAUCAGUUCUUAUCUUUUUUGAAAAACGUUGCAUAAGAGUAUUUACUUUCCACUUCGGAUCAUUUUUCAACAACACCCACACAUGUUCAUGUAAAAAAUGCUUGUUAUUAUUCUGAUGAAAUAGCUCAUGUGCGUGUUGCUUGAUCUAGUCAUCAUUCCACCUGCUAUGAUGUUCGCUGACCAAUUUGUUGUAAUAUUGGUUGAACUCAUUAACCAUCGGACUCAACCAAUGCCAAUGUGAUUUCACUGCUUUAUAUUUUCGUGGUGGUCCAGAUUUUCGAUUCUCAUUGAAGUAGUCGACGACUCGUUUCUAAAAGCUUUUUUCAUUUUGAGAGUUACCCACAACACUGCAAUUUGAAAUUGUGAGCCAAGCACUUGCAAGAAUCUUGUCAUCAUCCACACUCCAUGGAACACAUUUACGGUCAGGUUCUUCCACCGCCUCAUUUGUGAGAUUUAUAUUUUCUACCUCACGUUGUGUUGAAUACGCGGAAAUUGAGAAUCCUAAAUUGACUCCGUUGGUGUUGCAUUAUCUUGUUGACUGGCGAAAUCAAAAUCCUUCCUUAUCUCCGACGGAGUCGUUGAGCCUCCACAACCCAUACCAAGGUUAUAAUACCCCGGUGUAUAGUGAUUUCCCAUAGAAUGAUUAAAAUAAUUAGGUGACGGAUACAUGGGAAUUUGAUAUGGAAAAUGUGGUAGAUUUUGGAAAUUUGAUGGAUGAUUGGAAUUGGGUAAAUUUGGGUAAUUUGGAAUUGGAAAUGGAUAAUUUGGCAAAUUUGGAUAAUUUUGGUGGUUUUGAUUUUGUGAAGCGGAUGACUUUUCUAUAUUUGGACUAUUUAACAUAUUUCUAAAACUACUAAGAUUCUCAUCUAUAAUGAUAAAAUACUGAAAUUUAUAAAAUUAUGUAAAGAGAUUGAAAAUAGUGAAUAAGGGAGUAGGAGAGAUAAUGGACUAGAAGAUUGUGAGGUGAAAUAAAAAAUUACCUUGUGUAUUUAUAGGAAGUAAAAUAAAUUAUCCGUUGCUAAAAUAUAGCCGUUGUAAAAAAAGGCCGUUGUAAAAUGAUUGGUUCCAAAAAUGACCGUUGUAAAAUGUUUCAAAAAAUGACCAAGUAAAAUACUGUCUCAUUUUGGCUAUUUGGAUGUUUGCUGGUAUUGUAAUGCCGUUUGGAUCCCAUAACAUCUUUCAUGACACGCAUCAUCAGUAUUGUGAUGACACGCAUCAUCAGUAUUGUGCGUGUAAUCUCCGUGACAUGGUCUCCCAACCGUGUCAUGGAGCGGUGUAAUGGGGGGCAUUAUACCCCCAUUAUACAUUGCUGUGGAUGCUCUUAAAACAGCUAACGUAUUUGAAAAGUAGAAUGGACCACCUAAAUAACCAAGAUGCCGCCGAUCACAAUAAUUUGCAUAGUGAGUUCUUGCUAGUAGUUAUUUAGUGACUUCCAAGCCUUUGCUCAUUAUAAAUACCGGCCCCCUCCACAUUCCAAACUUACUCAACCACCUUCCUUGUGCUACAUUCUGCUAUCUUCUGCCACCACCACCACCCCCACUACUCCCAGAAAAUGGAAAGCUUUUCUCCCACCUGGGCUGCAUAUGCACUCGCCUGGGUUGCAACGGUGGUUAUCGCCCAUCUCUCGAAGCAUUUCCAUCAGCAAAAACUCAACCUCCCACCGGGUCCAAGGCAAUGGCCUAUAAUUGGAAACUUAAACCUCAUUGGCACCCUUCCUCAUCGUUCACUCCAUCAACUCUCCCUAACAUAUGGUCCCCUAAUGCACCUUCAAUUCGGCUCCUUCCCAGUUGUCGUUGGCUCCUCCGUGGAGAUGGCCAAAGUUUUCCUCAAAACCAUGGACGUCACAUUUGCAGGGAGGCCUAAAACUGCAGCCGGAAAAUAUACCGCUUAUGAUUGCACCAACAUGACUUGGUCCCCUUACGGACCAUACUGGCGCCAGGCACGUAAGAUUUUCCUUACGGAAUUAUUCAGUGCAAAAAGACUCGAAUCAUAUGAACAUAUUCCGGUGGAAGAAAUGAAUUCGCUUCUGCUACAGCUAUUCAAGUCAUCAGGCAAGCCUGUCGUGUUGAAAGAUUAUCUUUCAACAGGAAGUUUGAAUGUGAUUAGCAGGAUGGUCCUGGGGAAAACAUACAUUGAUGAGUCUGAGAACUCAAUUGUCACGCCCGAAGAGUUCAGGCAAAUGAUGGACGAGGUGUUUUUGCUGGCUGGUGUGUUUAACAUUGGUGACUUCAUACCUUGGAUCGAUUUCUUGGAUUUGCAGGGGUAUAUCAAGAGGAUGAAAAUCUUGAGCAAGAAAUUUGAUAGGUUUCUGGAGCAUGUUCUCGAUGAACAUAAUGCCCGGCGGAAGGACGAAACUGAUUGUGUCAGCAAGGACAUGGCGGACGUCCUUCUGGAUCUUGCAGAUGAUCCCACUUUGGAGGUGAAGCUAGAGAGGCGUGGAGUCAAGGCAUUGACUCUGGUAUAUGUUACUUACAAACUGCAUAACGCAUGCUGUCAACUUUUAAAAGACUGAAAACUUGAGAGAAAAUAGUCAGUGAUCUUUUGAACUUGAAUACUCCUCAAAAUUUUCUUUGCUACUGAAAACUUGAGAGAAAGUAGUCAGGAUCUUUGUAGUUUGAUGAAAAUUUUUCAGUGGAGGCAGAAUUAACAAGAAAAUUCUUUUUAAUCCUUCUAAAAGAAAUUGCUUUUGAUAAAGGUACUCAAGUAAGUAGGAAUAUUGUUGGCCAAGUACAGUCAAUUUGCAACUCAAAAACGUUUGUGGGCCUAGUCAAUUUGCAACACAAGAAGUUGAUUAGAACUUGAGUUUUGCUGAUAAGUACAUUGGUUCUAUUCUUUGCCAAAUUAAUAUAAUAUCCAUGAUAGUAAGAUUUAUUUCACGUCCCGGUGGGGAGCACAAAUAAUAAUUCUUAAGAAAUUCCAAGCCUAUUAUAGGAAAUUUAUUUUGUGCCCUGUUUCUGCAAGAAAUAACCACUUUUUUUGCAAUUUUUUUUAGGUUAUUCUCUAAACACGGUUUUUAACUAUUUUUUUUUUAAUUACGUUUUCAUUCAGAUAUCACAUUCGGAACAUUGAAACAUAAAUAAGUUUAAGAACUUCAAUGAUUGGACUAAGUUUCUUGCUGCACUUUGCGUAACGAUUGAACUCUAGGACCUACUUGGUGGUGGAACCGAGACCUCAGCGACUACAGUAGAAUGGGCCAUUUCGGAGCUACUGAAAAACCCAGAAAUAUUCAACAAGGCAGCCGAAGAACUCGACCGUGUUAUCGGUCAGAAUCGAUGGGUGAAAGAGAAGGACAUGCCAAAUCUUCCUUACAUAGAGGCUAUUGUUAAAGAAACAAUGCGUAUGCAUCCCGUGGUCCCAUUUCUAGUGCCAAGAUGUGCUCGCGAAGAUUGCAAAGUUGCAGGGUACGAUAUUCAAAAGGGAACUCGAGUCAUCGUCAACGUUUGGUCAAUUGUGAGGGACCCUGAAUUGUGGGAGAAGCCAGAGGUAUUUUGCCCAGACAGAUUCAUGGGAAAGGACAUUGACUUCAAAGGGCAAGACUGUAAGUUCUUGCCAUUUGGUGCUGGAAGAAGAAUGUGCCCAGGGUACAGUUUAGGCCUCAAGGUUAUCCAAUCUAGUUUGGCCAAUCUUUUACAUGGAUACAGAUGGAAGUUGCCAAAUGACAUGAAGCCUGAGGACCUUGACAUGGAAGAAAUAUUUGGGCUUACUACACCAAGAAAGAUCCCACUUGUUGCCAUUGUUGAGCCUCGGCUUCCUCGUAAUCUUUAUUCACUAUGAUUCACUACGUGUAUGUUUGAUCUCCCAGUAUCAUCACUAUCAACUUGUGUUCAAAUAAAUCAGCUCUGCAAGUUUAGAAUUUGUAGCUGCGCUUAUAUGUGUUUGCCAAUUGCCACAACGCUACAAACCCUUGUAGUUGGUGCAUGGCAUAUGCGUAAUCACUGAGAUUGUUAUGCGUAUUGAAGUCCAAAUUUGUUCGCAAUUAUGUGAAACUGUGAAUACGCACACCCCUGAUGUUUCAAAUACAUUCUAUAACAUUCCGAUGCUAAUUUAAAUCUGCAAUAGUAGGUUCACAGUCAAAGCAAUGUGCUCUCUGCCAUCUUUCCUCUUAGCAUCUUCCAUCAAUUCCUGUGCACCUCUAAGCCAUGCCACUGGAUUGGUGCUACUUUCCGUACUUGUUGGGAGGAAGAGAGAAAGAGAAAAAAAAAAAAAAAAAGAGCGGAGGGUGAGGUGGCUGCGGCCGUGAUGGCAUGGGAAGGGAGGGAAGAGGAAGAGCAGCAGUGGUGUGGUGCGGAGAGAAAGAAGAAGAAGAGAGGAGAGAAAAGAAAAAGGGCAAAUCGCCAAUUUAGUCCUCAAACUAUUUUACUAAAGCCGAUUUGGUCCCUAAAAGUUUUAUCGCACCAAUUAAGUCCCUUAACUAAAAUGCUUGUGCCAAUUGAGGACUUAUAUAGCGUCGCCACCCAAAACUCAUGUAUCUGUACAGAAAACAACGGUCAGGCAGGGGCCUUUUUGGAAGUUCGCAUCCUAAUUUCUACGGGAAGCAAGACAGAGCCUAUUUUGCAUCCGAAUUGGGGGAAACCUAUGAAAUUAAGGGUUUUUCAAGACAGAAACCCAUUUUGCAUGCAAAUAGCGGAAGAAAUUGGGGGUUUGAAACCGAUUCAAAAUUCCACACCGUAGGGAGAUAAGAUGACGAAAACAGAGCGGAAUUCCCAAAUUGGUUCGCGGGCAACAGAGCAGCGCAAGGAAAAGCUGGGGGAUGAAUAUUCCGACGGGAUGGCAGCGAGGAUUUCCGGUAAGUCUUGGCCUGCAUGUGCGAUGGUAAGUCUUGGUCUGAGACAGGACUAAGUACAUUUGCAUGGUAAUAAAGAAGAUGCUGGAAGGAACUUCUAUCACAGUUCUGUUCAUGGUGUAGGAUAUGUUCUCCCAGAUUUUGAUAAGCUCCGCUUACAACAGUUUUUUUUUUUUUUAAGGUGGAUAGACAAUUCUGUGGGGUCAAAGGUGAAUGUGAAAACCCAAACUAAUUCAUGAUCAUUAAAAUAAACAUGCAUAGUUCUGAGCUACUUAAAAGGUUUCACUCGGAAUGAUGAAUAGGUACUUGAAUGUUGUGCUUGAAGAAAAGUUGAAGUUAUAUCAUUAUCGAAGAAAGAAAAGUUGAAGACAUAUUAUCAUUGAAAAUUUUAAGAAAAGUUGAAGAUACAUCAUCAUUGAAGAAAAAAAUAUCGUGGCAAAGUCUAUUAGCAUUUCAAAUUGCUUUUUGGCUUACUAACAGGGCAAAGUGCAUUUGCAUGUGUUACUUUUUCUUGCACUGUUGUUAACAAUAUUCUCAUUUUCAUUUUAUGAAUCUGAGAAUCAAAACAUCGGAAUAGUAGGUUUCUUAUGUUCUAGCAUACUGGGCACAUGCUGCUAAAUAAGAAGUCUUUCAUUUUAAGCAGUUUGAAAGGUUAAAAAAAUCCCCCUCCCCAGCUUUCUUACUGAUUUAUUAGUGUUGAAUCUGUUUCUUAUAUACUUUGAUGUUUUGGACCAGAAGCUUAGAUAGAGAGAGAUGCAAGUUGCAAACUCAGAAAGGAUUGGAUAUUUUCACUGGAAAAAUGCAUCAAAAUGGUAGAACGUAGAUGAACUAUUUAUUACCACCGAUGCUAGCAGCUAUAUUCUGUCUUGGAAAACUCCUAAUUUCACAGGUUUCUCCAAUUCGGAUGUAAAAUGGGCUCUGUCUUGUUUCCCGUAAAAAUUAGGAUGCGAAUUUCCAAAAAGACCCCUGCCUGGCCGUUGUUUUCUGUACAGAUACAUGAGUUUUGGGUGACGACGCCGUAUAAGUCCUCAAUUGGCACAAGCAUUUUAGUUAAGGGAUUUAAUUGGUGCGAUAAAACUUUUAAGGACCAAAUCGGCUUUAGUAAAAUAGUUUGAGGACUAAAUUGGCGAAUUUCCCAAAGAAAAAAGAAAAAAAAAGCAAGAUUUGGAAUUUUUUCAAGGAUAAUGCUUUAAUAACGACAGUUAUGGUAACGAAAUAGUUUUUACCUAAUAUAAUAGAUUGUUGCACUUUUAGCGACCAUUUGAUUAUUUGUUGAACCUAUCCACCUAAAAUAGAAUAACACCUAAAAAUAUGGAAGUAAGUUUUCCAUAUAAAAUAGUAAGUUAACCUUAAUAGAUUAGUAAUUUUUAUACCUCAAAAGGUAAAUUGGAAUAAAUAUUAAACUUACUUUUUAAAUAAAUAAAUUACUACUUUAUAUCCCGAACUUACUUUUUAGAGAGUAAGUUUAGUUCAAUUAACAGUAAGUUUUUAUACAUAAAUAGUAAUUCUUACUAAUAACAUGGUAAAUUUGAUUAUUGAUCAAAAUUUACUGAUUUUUUGAAUACAUGUACAAUUUUACAUUAAAAACUUAUCUCAAACUAGUAUUAGGAAGUUUAUUUGAAAUAAUGAUAAGAUGUUUUAUUAAUAAUUAAAACUUAGUACCUUAGUUAGUAAGUUCUCGUAAUAUACCCGUAUAAUAAAUGAUUAUAGGUAUAAUUUAAAUUUUUUUUGUAUUUAUAUAUUUUAAAAUAAUAUGAAAAGUAGUUUCACUUUUCAGAUAACCUUGUAAAAUAUGUAAUAAAAUUUUGUCAUAUUAUAGGUUUUUAAUCGUUUUCAAUUUUUGAAAAGUUUGAAAGUUUGGAUAACAAUAACAACAAAUCUUCCUAAUUAUAUAUAAAAUAUCACUUGUUUAUAUAUCACAAUUUUUAUAAUUUAACACCUAUGAAUAUAAUACGAUGAUAAAGUUUUAAUAAAUUUACAUCUGGGACAUAAGAAUUAAUAAGAGUUAAAGUCCAAACAAAAUGACAGAGAGUAUAACAAUAAAAAUGAGAAAAUUAGUAUAACGGUUAAUAUAAGAAAAUCAGUAUGAUCUGGACUUUUUUCCUUGGGAGAUUAUUCAUAAAAAUAAGAUCCAACAAUUAAAUGAAAAUCACUUGCACAUAUAAUCUAUUGUAUAAUUUAAAUUAAAUUCAGUUCAAGUAUAAAACGGUCCUAAAAUAAUUAGCGUACUAUGAUACAAUGUUAUUUUAACAACAAAAAUUUUUUUUACUCAAAGUCUCAAAUAUCCAUGACAUACAUAUGAGCGAUAUUUUACCAUAUUUGUAUCUAACUAUAAGCACAAAUUUCAUUGUCGAAAAUAAAAGACACGAAAACCUACACAAAUGUCAAAUUUAUUAAAUCAAAUAAUAAGAGAGUUACAAUCUCUAAAAAUUAUUUUUUAUUUUGAUAAUUACAAUCUCUAAAAAUUCUUGAAUCAAAGAAAUUAAUCCCCUAAUUCUUCUCUUCGAAAGCACUCCUAAUUAAAGCAUAAUAAAAUCAAGUUUUUUUUUAACUUUUUAAUGUAGUAGUUAUAUUUACUAAAAAAUUAGUAAACCAUUCCUACAAUGCAUUGCUUCUCCUAAAAGUACUAAUAUUUUGUAAAUAAAUUGACAUAAUUUUGUAAAAGAUUUUAUGCAUUUUCAUUAAUAUAAUCAAUAGAAUUUUGCACCUUUAAAUUAUAAAUAGAAAGAAAGGAAAAUGGUAUGAGUAUAAAGGUGACCAAAUGCAAUAUAUAUCACAUCAUGUGUUUAGAUAUGAUUUGUUAAAUAGUCAGUAAUUUAGUCCUGGUCAAUAUAUGAUGCAUAUUGAUUUCUUAUAAAUAAAAAUAUAAUUUAGCAAUUAUGCAUUAACAGAAUUCGUAGUUUGAAUGCAAUCAAUUGAGCACCUAUUUCUUUUUUUUUAAGUAGCUAUUAUUUAUUUUAUUACUUAGGUUAUAUAUUUACAUGUAAAAUAACAACAAUAGCGUGCCAAUCCUCGGACCAACAGAACUUCAAUUAUUGUUAACUAAACUAAUUUUACAUUGAUAAAAAUUAGUCUAGAAAAUGAAAUGUUGAUGGCAACAAUUGGUAACAAAUAGCAAUCUUUUAAUUUUGGGAAAAUAAAAAAUAAGUUCCCAAAAGUAUUUCACUUUUAUUUUUAAAAAAAUCUCAACUUGUUAAUUAAAUUCAAAAUGAUUUUAUUAUAAAAAAUAUUCUUCCUCAAAUUAACAUCAAUGAUUAGACAUGAGAUACAAAUAUGGAAAAAAAGAGAUAAAAAUAUGGUAAAAUAUCUCUCAUAAUAUGUAAUGGAUAUUGGAGACUUUUGGCAAAAAAAAUUUUUGUUGUUAAAAUAAUAUGUAUUAUAGUGUGCUAAUUAUUUUAGGAUCAUUUUGUACAUGAACUAAAUUUAAUUUAAAUUAUACAACAGAUUAUAUAUGCAUGUGAUUUUUGUUUAGUGGUUGGAUCUUAUGUUCGUGAACAAUCUCCAGAGAAAAAAAAUUCCAGAUUGUACUAAUUUUGUUAUACUAAUUUUGUUAUUUUUAUUGUUGUAUUAAUUGUUACACUUUUUUUCUCAUUUUGUUAGGUCUAUAUUAAUACAAGUUUAAUUCUUAUUAUUUCUUGUGUCCCAGACAAUAAAUAUAUUAAAACUUUAUCAUCUUAUUAUAUUAAUAGGUUUUAAAUUAUAGAAAUUACAUAGAUAAGUGAUAUUCCAUAUAUAACUAGGAAGAUGUGUUGUUAUUAUUAUCCAAACUUUUAAAAUUUUCAAAAAUUAUUCAAAUUAUAAUACGACAAAAUUUUGUUAUUUUAUAAGGUUAUGUGAAAGGUCAAAAUAUUUUUCACAAUAUUUUAAAAUAUAUAAAUACAAAAAAUUUUUAAAUUAUACAUAUAAUUAUGUAUUAUACAAGUAUAUUACGAGUACUUACUAACUAAGGUGCUAAGUUUUAAUCAUUAAUAAAAUAUUUUAUUGUUAUUUCAAAUAAACUUCCUAGUAUUGGUUUGGCAUAAGUUUUUUUUAGCAAAAUAGUACAUUUAUGCCAUAAAUUAGUAAGUUUUGGUCAUUAAUCAAAUUUACUAUGUUAUAAGUAAGAAUUACUAUUUAUGUAUGAAAACUUACUAUUACUUGAACUAAAUUUACUCUCUCAAAAGUAUGUUUGGGAUAUAAAAUAGUAAUUUAUUUUUUUAAAAUGUAAGUUUCAUAUUUAUUCCAAUUUACCUUUUGAGACACAAAAGUUACUAAUUAUUACGGUUAACUUACUAUUUUAGAUAAGAAACUUACUUCCUUAUGUUUAGGCAUUAUCCUAUUUAGGUGGAUAGGUCAAACAGGUAUUCAAAUGGUAGAUAAAAAUAUAAUAACCUGUUAUAUCAGGUAAAAACUGUUUAGUUAUCAUAACUAUAGUUACUACAGCAUUUUCCUUUUUUCAAACCUUCAAAUGCACGAAAGGUUUCUUACAAGUUUUAUAGUGAAGCAUAGUAAAAUUUUAAACUUAAACACCUAGAAAAUAGCAAUCAUUUUGGAAACAAACCUUGAGAUUUAUUAUAAUAUCACUUAGCUUCUCUGAAGUUUUUAAAAUCUUACUUUCUUCCCCUACCAACUUGGGAAGAUCAAGUGUUCCUAUCAAAGGUCACAAAUUUACAACAAUUACUGUUGCACUCUUUAUGACUAUUUAAUUGAAAAACCAAAACAAGAAGAGAAUUUUUAAAAGACCAAAAACUAUAGAUGAAAAAGAUAACCAAAUUGCUAUCCAAUAUUGGUCGAUAUUUCUUUGUAUCAACGUGGUGGUGGAAUAGUAAAAGACAUGGGUAAAUUAAAAUCUAGUUAAAGACAUGGGUAAUUUUUGUAGAAUAGUUAUGAGGAAAUCAAGAAAUUCUUUUAGAAAAUAUGUUCUAAUAUAGGAUAUAAUAUAAGUUAUACUACAAAUUAAAAUAACCUCUUCAUACAUGUGGUUUGUAAUAUAAAUCCUACUUAUAGAAAAAAUUAUAUAAAUAAGUCAGAAUUUAAAAAAUUAAUCAGAAAUGUUCUAAUGACCAAAUAUAUAUCUAGGAAUAUUCUUUUUUUUUUGUUAGAACAUCAUUUUUUAUACAAGGUAAUAGUUAUUGUACAUCUACAAGAUUAUUCGUUAUUGCAUUUAUAGUUGCUCAUAUUUUUAACUUUUAACUUUUUAACUUUAUUUUAUUUUUUAUUGUUGUUGUACGCUUAAUAAGUAGGAUAGCAUAAGAGUAAUAUUAGAACAAAAAUUUUAUCUUUCUUGCAUUUCCUUCAAAGGGGUUAAAAUGUAUGAAGAAUAUGAAAACAAGAGAGGUAUGUGAGAUUUUAAAAAUUGAAAGAGUUCUAAGUGAUAUUAUGAGAAAUGUCAUGCGAGGUUUCUGAAAUUAUCCCCAAAAAAAUCAUCCAAAUGAACCUUCUUGUUGUUGCAAAAUCUUUGCUUCGGAAUCCUAGUGCCAUAUUUCCAUCUUCUUUAACUCUCCGUCUCUCCACCAAAAAAAAACAAAAAAGAAGCAAUUUUGGUAGCGAGCUACUUUGAAUAAGAUCGUGAAAUAAUUGCAUGUAGAAAUUUGACAAGAAGUGAAAGCAAUCAAAUUUGCAAUAUGUCAACAUAUAUUUUUAUAUGAAAACGUAUUCUAGUAUUCCAUGAGCCAUUUUGUCUUGCCUUUCGUUCUGCUAGGAAAUGGCCAAAUCCUCCUAAUAUUGUUACUUCCCAAAAAAAUCCGCCAAAUAUUUUUUUGAAAAAAAAUGGCAGAGGGUCGUCGCACCCUGGCUUUUUUUACCACACUGUGCGCCAACGUGAUGCAACGAACCUGGCAGCCAUGCGACGAGCCUUUUUUUUUUCAAAUGUUUUGUAAAAAAUGUGUAGGUUCCGUUAAGUUUUUUUUUUUUUUUUUUUGGAUAAGGCGGUUUUGGUUUUUUAAGUUUUAGCAUGUUUAGGAUUUACAAUUUAUUAUUUAGGGUUUAGGAUUUGUUAAGUUUGUUGAUAAAAGGGUUUGGAUAUGGCCAUUGUAGUUAAUAAAGGAUUUAUUAAAUUUGUUAAUAUAGUCGAUAACUUACAUAAAAAUUAAAUGAAACGUAAUUGUAUUGAAGAAAAAAAUGAGUACAUGAAUCGCAGUUUUUGUAUUUUAGAAUUUAUAUAAAAUGCAAUAGUAUAAAAAAAUUAAUAAUAUAUUGAAAAAUUAAUAGUUAUUUAUAGAAUGCACACAUAAUGAAAGUACUUUUAUAGGUCGUUAUUUGGUAUACAAUGGUACUUGAUACUUAUAUUAAAUGAUUAAACCAGUUAAAGUGGUCAUAAAUUGACUUGUACCUCUACGUUUAAUAAAUUAAUGGAUCCUUUUAUCCAAUUAUAGAAUUUCAUCAAAUAAUUUGUACUUUUGUAUUUUGAAAAUAUGUAACGUUAUUAAACUUUAAAAUAAUUAAACAGGAAAAGUAGGACAAUUAAUUAAAUGUCAAGAUAGUAUGCAGUAUAUUGAAUGGAUGGGAUUUAAAUCUAAGUAGAAGACCGGACAAUAUCAACACUUCGGGGUUUCUUGUCUUUAUCCCUGUCUUUGGGCCUUCUUACAAGGUGUGGUGGGGGAAUAACAAUGCCUAGUAGGGGCGACGGUCCUUUGCCUUCUUUAAAAGAGAAGAAAAAUCUGGAUCGCCUGACGCUUCUAUAUGGCACAACGGGCAUGCUUUAAUACACAACUUACACAUAGUUAUAUUUGGCGGAUUUUUUUGGGAAGUAACAAAUAAUAUUCUGAGGAUUUGCCUUGGGGUAAAAGUUGCUUGUAAUUGUUAGUCUAGCUACUUGACUUCAAUAUUGAAGAUUGUCCGGCACAUAAAAUCCCAAGUCGUAGUCUCCAAGAUCCAGCCAACCGGUAGAAACAAUAUAUGAAGUGACGACGAGGUUCUUGAUAAAUCCAUUUAUGACAGCACCAUGUGCAACUCAUGAUAAAUUCAUAGGCUUUGAAUCUCCAUUCGUCACAAUUAAACGUGAUAUUACUUAAAAAAUACAAAUAAAAACAUAAUAUAUCCGUCUGAUUAAAUGAUGAUUCAAUCCCCUACGAAUUAUUUCAGAAUCUCUUCGAGCCUUUUCUCUACCCAUUAUGUAGUAGGCUAUCUUAUCGACAAAGAAAAAAAAAAUCUCCAUUCGGCCAAAAAUCAUAAACCCAUGGGCCAAAAAAUUGAUAAACAAGUUGAGUACUACGCUUUUACAUCUUUCUCUGUAAUCAUUUUCACGAGUUUGUCAUGUAGCGUGACAUUAUUGCGAGAGAAAGUAUUCUCUAUUAUGACAGGACCAUGUGCAACUCGUGUCAGACUGAGGAGCUUUAACCUUUCCGACUGGCUGUGUCGGGCGAAGGAAAUCACAUGUCAAAUUUCAUUUGAUUUGCGGAUGGAAGGCUAUGGAACUAUGGAAGCUGUAGGCCCUGAAGCAAAAUUAAUUGGUCCACAAAAAUUGCCAAACUAGUUUUCUUUUUCCAAGUUUCUGUUACGUGAGUAAGUGAAAACUUUUACAACCAUCAGUUCUUUUAAAAUAUUUUGAAGCGCAACCACAUGCACACAUUCUAUACUCAUUUGUCUCUUCUUCAGUUUUUAUACUCCAUCUGGGAUGUCUAAUCAUUGUUUCGUAAAAAAUUAAAAAACUAUAUAUAUUUUUCUGUAUAAUUAGUCAAUUAUAAAUUGGUAAAGUUUUAAUCAAUUUCAUCCAUUAUUGUUGACUUUUUUCAAACGCCCACAAAGUUUGAUUUUUUGUGGCACAAUUUUAUCCCACAUCGGCAAAAGCUUGAGGAAAGCCUUCUUUGAUUUCCUAUAAAUAAGAAAGCCUAUUGAAGGUUUCACGUGCACCACUCAAGAGAGCAUUAUAUGGGUUAUUAGUUUCUUGGGUCAUCUAACCCAUUUAUAGUCAAAUAUUUUAGACUCUCUUGUUUUGAGCUUAGAAAUAUUUCCUAAACCUUUUGUAAGUGCCAUUUUGGUUUAGGAACCACUUUCCUACGGCUUUUGUAUUUUUUUUUCAUAAUAGAAAUAUUGCUUCUCCUCCGCCCAUGGAUAUAGGUCAAUUUGACCGAAUCACGUAAAUUUCUGUGUCUUUUAUUUUGCUUUGUUAUUUGUCUUUAUUGGGUUGUCAUAACCCUUUUAUAUGGUCGAUUUUACUGCCUAAUUAUUAUAUGAUUGGUGUUUACCGCCAAACCAUUAUAUGGUCGGUUAUACUGCCUAUUUUGUUCUAACUUUAGUUUGUUUAUUCGUGAGCCAGUCCUAACAAACUGGUAUCAGAGGUGGUUGCUAUAUUUUGCAAGACAGGUUCAUCUGGUGGGGCCCGUUCAUCCUAUGGGGUCCGUUUAUCCUUAGGUCCGCUCACCUUGUGGGGCCCGUUCAUCCUGUGGGGCCUGCUUAUCUCUUGGGGCCCGCUCACCCUGUGGGACCAACUCACGAGACUUGCAUAUCUGUUUGACCAGUUUUUUUUGAGACAAGUUUCAAGUUAUAGAUUUUGUGGCAACAAUGACGAUAACAAAGACGGUUGUCGAGAAAUUCGACAGGAAUGUCAAUUUCAGCAUGUGGCAGCUCAAGAUGGAAGCCAUUCUUGUUCAAGACGGAGUUGACUUGGCAAUUCAGGGAAUUGAGAAAAAGUCAGAAGAUGUAAAGGAUGCGAAUUUCGCCGAUAUGGAUAAGAAAGCUAGAUCCAACAUAAUUUUGAAUCUCUCCGAUGAAGUUUUACGAGAGGUAGCAACGGAGAUUGAAAGUCUUGUAUAUGAAGAAAACAGUCGAGAAUCGGCUAUAUUUGAAGCAGAGUUUGUAUAUGUUUCGGAUGUCUGAAGGUACAUCUAUACUCUCUCAUCUUGAUAAAUUUGAUUCCAUUAUUAUGGAUUUGGAGAAUAUAGAUUCAAAAAUUGAUGAUGAAGAUCAGACCCUAUUACUUUUGUGUUCCUUUCCCAGUCAUUUAAGUAUUUUCGUGAUACUAUGAUUUAUGGAAAGGAAACAAUUUCGUAUCGAAAAAUUAAAUCUGCAUUAAAAUCUAAAGAACAGAUAGAUAGAGAUAUUAGUGGAGAAACUAGUGGGAGUCAAUCCGAUGGCUUGUUUGUUCAGGGUAGAUCUGAAAAGAGAAACACAGAAAAUAGAAAUAGAUCCAAAUCUAGACAUAAAAAUGUGGUGUGCAACUAUUGUAAAAAGAAGGAUCAUGUUAUCUCUGAUUGGUUUAAAUUGAAAAAUAAAGAAAUGCAAAAGGAGAAAAAAAGAGACCACCGAUGCUAGUAUUGUAGUUGAUAAAAAUGAUGGAACCAUUUUCUGUGCAACGGAAAAUAAUUUUAAAUCUAACAAUGAAUGAAUUAUAGAUUCGGCUUGUUCAUAUCAUAUGUGUCUCAAUAGGGACUGAUUUUCAACAUAUGAAUCAACUGAAGGUGGAGUUGUCUUAAUGGGUAACAACGCCGUUUGUGAAGUUGUUGGCAAAGGCACAAUCUGGAUUAAAAUGUACGAUGGUAUUGUGAGGACACUCACAAAUGUUAGAAAUGUUCCAAAUUUAAAGAAAAAUCUCAUCUCUUUGGGCACUCUUGAAUUUAUUGGGUGCAGGUAUUCAGGUGGAGGUGGAGUUCUCAAAAUCACUCGAGGUGCUCUUGUUGUUAUGAAGGCACACAGAUCUGGUACUUUAUAUAUUUUGCAGGGAUCUACUGUUACAGGUGCUGCUGCUGUUUCAACAUCAUCUUUGUCAGAUACAGACAUCACCAUAUUAUGGCAUAUGCGUUUGGGGCACAUGAGCGAAAAAGGCUUGGACAUACUGAACAAAAGAGGACUUCUUUGUAGACAAAGUACCGGGCCAUUGGAAUUCUGUGAACAUUGUAUUUUUGGGAAGCAGAAAAGAGUCAGUUUCAGUUCACCAGCAAUUCACAAGUCAAAAGGUACUCUUGAUUACAUUCAUUCAGAUCUAUGGGGUCUUUCUCGUGCUCCUUCUAAAGGUGGUGUCAGGUACAUGUUGACUUUCAUUGAUGAUUAUUCAAGAAAAGUUUGGGUAUAUUUUCUUAAGUAUAAAAAUGAUAUUUUCCUAACUUUCAAGCAAUGAAAAGUUUUGAUUGAAAAAUAAACAGGAAAACAUGUUAAGCGGUUGAGAACAGAUAAUGACAUGAAAUUUUGUGAAGGUGAAUUUGAUAGAUUUUGUAAAAAUAAAGGAAUUGUUCGGUAUCGCACUGUCAGAAUGAUGCCGCAACAAAAUGGUGUGGCAGAACGUAUGAACAGAACGCUUUUGAAAAGAGGAAGAUGUAUGAUCUCCAAUGCAGGUUUGACAAAUGACUUUUGGGCAGAGGCGAUCAAUAUGGCCUGUUAUAUUGUCAACCGUUCUCCUUAUGCAUCUCUUGAUUUCAAAACUCCUGAGAAAGUUUGGUCAGGUACUCUUGCUGAUUACUUCAAUUUAAAAGUUUUUGGGUGUCCAGCAUAUAUGCACGUGAAUGAUGAAAAAUUGGAGUUUAGGGCUAAAAAGUGCAUUUUUCUUGGGUAUGCUUCUGGGGGUGAAAGGAUACAAAUUAUGGUAUCUUGAUCCCAAAUCUCCAAAAUUUAUAAUCAGUAGAGAUGUUACUUUUGAUGAAUUGCCUAUAUUAAUUUCCAAGAAGGAGUCUUCUAGUCCUUGUACUACUGAUAGUACACAGAAGCAGGUGGAGCUUGAUAUUGGCAGUUCUAGUUCUUCUCAGAUCAAAUCUUCUAUUCAACAAAUGCCAGUAGUUGCACCUGAAUCUGCUAUUGAAGAUAAUUCAGAUGAAGAGGAAUAUUCCAUAACCAGAGAUAGACCAAGGAGAGACAUUCGACCACCACAAAGAUAUGCAAAUGUAGUUGCAUAUGCUUUGUCUGUUGCAGAAGAAGCUGAUACAGUUGGUGAGCCUUCCACCUAUUCAGAAGCAGUUUCUUGUGAUGAUUUUGCAAAGUGGUUGAUUGCGAUGAAUGAAGAAAUUGAAUCUCUUCAAUAGAAUGAAACUUGGGUUCUUGUAAAGCCGCCGUCAAAUAAGAAAAUAGUUGGUUGCAAGUGGAUUUUCAAGAAAAAAGAAGGUAUUCCAGGAGUUGAAUAUACAAGGUAUAAAGCACGAUUAGUUGCAAAGGACUAUAGUCAGGUACAAAGUGUUAAUUUUAAUGAAAUUUUUUCAUCUGUUGUUAAACAUAGCUCUAUUCGUGUUUUGCUUGUUUUAGUUGCCAUGUAUGAUUUGGAGUUAGAGUAGCUUGAUGUUAAGACAGUUUUUUUACAUGACGAACUUGAAGAACAAAUUUAUACGAAGCAACCCCAGGGUUUUGAAAUUGAAGGUAAGGAAAACCAUGUUUGCUUAUUGAAAAGAUCCUUAUAUGGAUUGAAACAGUCUCCAAGACAAUGGUAUAAAAGGUCAUGGUUAUUCAAGGAGCAUGUAUGAUAGUUGUGUUUACUUCCGGAAGUUAAAUGAUGGUUCUUUUAUUUAUUUGCUGCUUUAUGUUGAUGACAUGCUCAUUGCUGUCAAGAAUUUGUCAGAAAUUCACACUUUGAAACUGCAGUUAAAUAGUGAAUUUGAAAUAAAAGAUUUGGGAGCAAUUAAGAAAAUUCUUAGCAUGGAUAUCAAGUGAGAUCGAGAAGUAGGGAAGUUGUUCUUGACCCAAAAAAAUUAUCUUAAGAAAGUCUUGGAGCGUUUUGACAUGAAAGAUGCUAAACCAGUAUUUACUCCUCUUGCUAGCCAUUUCGGCUAUCUGCUGCUCAAUCACAAAAUUCAGAUGAAUAGGAAAAUUAUAUGGCACGGGUUCCUUAUUCCAGUACAGUCGGCAGUAUUAUGUAUGCAAUGGUUUGUACUCGUCCAAAUAUUGCACAAGCUGUCAGUGUUGUUAGCAGAUAUAUGUCUUGUCCUGGAAAAACACAUUAGCAGGAUGUGAAGUGGAUUCUCAGAUACUUGCGACGCAUUUGAAAUGCAUGUUUGGAGUUUGGAAGAAAUAAUAACACUUUGAUUAGUUUUGUAGACUCAGACUACGCUGGGGAUCGUAACAGGAGAAGAUCACUUUCAGGCUAUGUAUUUUGCAUUGACGGUUGUGCUGUCAGUUGGAAAGCUACUCUACAACCUGUCGUAGCUUUGUCUACUACAGAAGCAGAAUAUAUGGCUGUGACCGAGGCAAUCAAAGAAAUCUUGUGGUUGAAGAGUUUGUUUAGCGAGUUUAGUCUACAUCAAAGUGUUACUAUUAUUCACUGUGAUAGUCAAAGUGUCAUACACUUGACUAAAGAUCAGAUGUAUCAUGAAAGGACGAAACAUAUUGAUGUGAAAUAUCCCUUUAUUCGGGAUAUCAUUGCUGAAGGGAAAGUCCUUGUUCAGAAAAUUAGUACCAAGGAGAAUCCUGCUGACAUGUUCACGAAAUCUCUUCCAAUUUAUAAGUUCAAACAGUGCUUGGACUUUGUUGGUAUUCGUUGUUGGUGACUUAGGCCCGUUGGGGCUUAUGUGGAGAAGGUGGAGCAGUUUUGCUAUUGUCGAUGGUGGGACUGAAAAUUAUGCCAAUGAGGAGAUUUGUUGACUUUUUUCAAACGUCCACAAAGUUUGAUUUUUUGUGGCAUAAUUUUAUCCCACAUCGGCAAAGGCUUGAGGAAAGCCUUCUUUGGUUUCAUAUAAGUAAGGAAGCCUAUUGAAGAUUUCAGGUGCACCACUCAAGAGAAUAUUAUAUGGGCUAUUAGUUUCUUGGGUCAUCUAACCCAUUUAUUGUCAAAUAUUUUAGACUCUCUUGUUUUGAGUUUAGGAAUAUUUUCUAAACCUUUUGUAAGUGCCAUUUUGGUCUAGGAACCACUUUCCUACGGCUUUUGUAUUUCUUUUUCAUAGUAGAAAUAUUACUCCUCCUCCGCCCGUGGACGUAGGCCAAUUUGACCGAAUCACGUAAAUUUCUGUAUUUUUUAUUUUGCUUUAUUAUUUGUCUUUAUUGGGUUGCCAUAACCCUUUUAUAUAGUCGGUUUUAUCACCUAAUUAUUAUAUGGCUGGUGUUUACUGCCUAACCAUUAUAUGGUCGGUUAUACCGUUUAUUUUGUUCUAAGUUUAGUUUGUUUAUUCCUGAGCCAGUCCUAACAAUUAUCUAACUUACAAGAAAGGAAAAGAUAUCUUCAAGAUACAAAGUUCAAAUUGAAUUUUUAGUUCACAUGAUGUGUCGAUGGAUAUUCGUUUGUCCAUUUUCUAUUAAAGAAACUUUAGUUAUUACAAUCUUUUCUUUGCACUCCUCUAAAAUAGUAUGAAAUAUUACCAUAAUUCUUAACAUGUCAUUUUUAAACCGAGGGUUAAGGAUUAUUGGAAAGUAAUCAUUAAAUAGUAUAUGAGUUAAUUAUUCUUAAUAAUUUUCAAAGUAUGUUUUAUGUUUAGUGUCUUACAUUCAUUAAAUUUAUUGUUUUAGUUCAUUUAUAUCCAUGUUUUUUGGAAAAUUAAAAUUCGAAGAUAAAAAGAUGUUAAUGCAGAUGCACGGCUGAAUAACUGGUGGUCUAAUUCUGUUGCUUGCUUAUCCACAAGAAUGACCACGCCAACACUACAUUAAUACACUCAUACUUUUGCAUUUCUUAAUUACUUGCAUUACUUAUUCUUUCUUCCCAACAAUUCUACAGUCCAUAAUCAUCAUUCCAAUUUUAAUUCAAUAAUCUUCAUACAACUCUGAACAUAUAACUAUAUUUAAUAUAAAUUCGCGACGUUCCUGCAUUUCAAUUCUCAAAAUCUUAUGGCAUGCCUUACUUUAUAAUGGUGUUUAAUUACUUAAGUUCAUAAACAAUCAAUGGUAUCAAAAUCAUAAACUUGUAUCGCACAAGAGGAUGCGAGAUCAGAAGUAAUUUCAAUUUCGUAGCUAGGGGUGAAAUUGCAAAGCAUUUGGCUAUAGACGUCAUUUUUUGUGUGACUUCCUUCUUCUGACACGUAUCCACUUUGUAUGGUUGGAACUUCCCGCUAUAGACCGAUCCGGUAGGUCGUGGCCAAUAAUGGGAUAGCAUAGUUUUUUUGCCCCAUCACUUAAGCACGGCAAGAUUUUUUUUUUUAAAAUUUUAAAUAGCUGCAACAAGUUAUUAACAAAAGAUAAUAUGCUAGCUCUAAUACUAUGACGCUAUUCUCGUUUCCUCUAGAGAAAUUUUCAGCCAACAAACUCCUUCAACUCCCUUCCUCAAGUUCUUUCUAGGGUUCUUUCUAUUUGUUUCUGUAAUACAUUUUUUGACAAAUUUUCAAUCCUAGUAUUUUCUCAGUAGAAGUAUCUUUCUUUCUUAGUGAGAGUUUUUAUUUUUUGUUUUUUUUGUUUUUAUUAGAUUUAAGUUUAUUCAAGUCUAAACUUUCUCGCAGGGCUUGAAAAUCUGUCUGGGAAAGGCUUACAAAUCAUUUGCAACUACAGAGAUUUAUAUGUAUUUAAUUGUAAGAAAAUUUGGAGCUUUCUAGUAGUAUUAUUUUGUUAUUGGUUUCUCUGAUUUGAAGGAAGUCACUUCUAUUUGCAUUUCCAUUGCGUCUUUUUCAUAUAUUUGCUGCUAUUUGUACAACUUUUCUGUGAUUAAAUAAAAUUCCCUUCCUUGCUAAAAUAAAUGAAAGUAAAUAUGAUGGAGAAAUUAAAUUGAUCUAAUUGACAAUAUGUCUUUAUCACUAGAUGCCUCCUCAGAUAUUCUCAAAAACUUCCAUACUCUAACUAUCAUUAUUUUACCACAAUAGUACUUCUUUAACAAUUACUAGCAUUUCUAUUUUGUCAUUUGAACUACUUCCUUUCCAUUUUUGGGACACUUAAAUUUGCAAUUAUCUUAUGAAAUUCUUAAAUUCAGCAACUUUCAACUACAUGUUAUGGUGAGAGAUAUUUGUUUGACAUGAUAUAAACCUAAUAAGAAAAGAAUUCAAUUUGAAAACACACGUAAGACAAUAUAUAUAGGUCCAUGUACAUAAACCAAAGAACAAAAUUAUAUCAAUUCAGUAAGCACAUUUAAUAAUAUUCCCUGGAGCCAUAAGGCAUAAGUUAAAUAUUUUAUCUGGAAAUGUCUCCUAAGAAUCUUAUACGUGAUGGAGUAAAUAGGCAGAGAACUGGGAAACGAAAAGACUUGAGCAUAUGCUUUUUUUUCUUUUUUUUUUUUUUGUGAAAUUGCAUAGCAAAUAUGGUAAGUAGCACCAAUCCAGUGGGAUGGCCUAUUAUAAGUGCAUAUUUUACAUGUUUUAAGUGUGUUUUAUUAUUUAGUUUUGGUGUGUUUUAACUACAUUUGUAGCUACUUAACUAAAUUUUUAGUGAAAAUAUGCUUGUGGUUAAAAGUAUAAAAAUUACAUUUUUAUGGAUUUUAAUAGCGAUAACUUUAUUUUUUUAUAGGUUUAAUAAUUCAAUCAUCAAUUGGAGUGAAUUGAUACUUGGAUGAUUAUUGAUGAUUUCAAGUUGUUUAAAGAAGACAUGAAGUGCAAAAAUGAAAUGCAAACAAAAACAAAAGAAAGACAGUUUUACAACUUUGACACCUUGUGAUAUUUCGGCUAUAUCUUGCACUACAAACAUCAGAUUGAGAUCAUUAUUAGCCAUUUUGAAGCUAAGAGAUAUAUCUAUAUUUGUUAUGAAGACAUCAAAGUGCAAUUCAGUUGUUUUCAUUUUCAAAAAGUCGAAAUAUAGAAGUGCAAUUCUAUUGUCGAAUUUGUAGCAGAGUCUUGACCAGGUGAUGAAAUUUUGGUCAUUUCUCAGUCCACAGAGCUUCAAAUUGGAUGAUUCCUAAUGCAUUGGAAAGCUAACUCAAAAAGUUACAACUUUUAUGUUUUGCACAAGAACUAGUUCAGCCUCCAUCAUCAAGAAAAAAUCAGUGAAAGUUGAGAAAAGCAGAGAAAGUAAAUUCGAGUUCGGAUAUAAACUAAACCCAACAUUGGAUAAACUUCUGUAAUCAGAGGCUACAUCCAAGAGGAGGAUCCGAGCUCGGAUCCCCAUGUUAUAGGCCUCAGAUCCUAAUGUGUAGUGAAGAUAAAAAUGAAGAAAAUUGAAAUCCAAGGAGUAUUUAGAGCAAUCCAACCUCGGAUCCCCAAUUGCGGAUCUGCAACUUGUGCUCCAUUCACACAACCUUUUUGACCACUUUUUCUACAAAGAUUCUGGCUGGAAAUGAGCAGAUGAGCAUGGAAGUUUUGAGAAGAAACCUUUGAGAUUUUCAAGAGUCGAAAAUGCUAACUAGAAACAACUCAUCUUGAGCUUUAAUCUUUCUAUAAAUAGAGGCCUUGGAAAAUAUUUUUACAACUUUGGAAGGCUAGAGAAACUCACCAACAAUGUAGUUUACUAGAAUUUUCUUAGUUCAUUAGCUAGAGUAGAUUAGUAUAGUUAUGCUAGUUUAUCCACUCUUAUAUAAUGGUUAGAUUAGGAUGAAGAUCGAGAUAAAAAAGGAGAGGAUGAAACUCAUGUAACAAGGGUUAUCUCUUCUCCAUUAUCUUUUACAUUGGAUUCUUAAAUAUGGUUAAUAUGCAAGUUUUGAAAUUUGUUUUCAUGUUUUGCUAAAGUUUAUACCUAGAGUUAUGGAUGAACUUUUUAUAUCUUACUAGUGAUGUUUACUUGGUUAUUUGAUGAUAUUAUUUUGAACAAGUUAUUUAUCACUUUUGCUUAUCUAAUCAUGAUUAGAUAAGCAAUUAAUUAUGAUAAUCUUAAUGUGUUAAAUUUGUAAUGAAAAUUGAAAUUUAGCACUAGUUCAAGAAAGUGAUAAACCUAUGGAGUACACUCACGAAAGUAGAGGUGCAACUUUGUAACUUUAGUGACUUGUUUCAUGUAAUUUCAUAAAAGAAAUGAGUUUGCAGUUAGUUUCAUAACCACGAAAAUAGGUAUGAAUUAACUAUUGGUAUAGUUGGUACAUCGGUGAAAGCAGGUAUCACGUAUAUUAGGAAAUUACGUCAUAACUAGUUAAGAUAAUAGUAACUUAACCGAUAAUUUUAUUUGUAAGAGUAGUAAGAAAUUCCAUACCUCUAGGAGCUUUAUAUUGUUAUUUUUAUUACUUUUAUCUCAUGUUUGUAGUGAAAUUUUAAUUUCUUGCGCUUAUGAUAGUAUAAAUAAUAAAGGAGUUCGAAAAUCAUCGGUAUUGACAAUCUUCCCUAUGGGAUCGAUACCUAAUACCCCUAUAAUCAAUAAACGACUUGUAUACUUGCGAAAAAUCGUGUGUGGAGUAUUUAAAAUUUUAUAAAUGUAGAACUUGACUGUGGAUGAACCAAUUAUUAUAUGUAUAUCCCGCGUUCAUUAGCCCUCUGCCAUUGAUGAGGGGAAUUGAUGGAAGACGCUAAGAGGUAAGACGGCAAAAAAUGCAUUGCUUUGAAUUGUAAACCUGUGCAGAUUUACGUGGCCACGACACUACUUGGACAGUCGGACCAUUUAGUACUGACAGACCAUGUUGUAAGAAAUAGUGACAUCCACAGUCAAUUCAAGGGCGGAGCCAUGUUAGAGAUCAAUAAUCAGAGGCUUGCAAAAUUUCGUAAUUUUUCAAUUUAGCUCACAUUUGCACUGACAAAUUUUGUAAAAAUUUCCUUUUGCUCUCGCAAUGCCCCUUAAAACAACUAACGUAUUGGAAAAGUAGAAUGGACCAACUAAAUAACCAAGAUGCCACUGAUCACAAUAAUUUGCAUAGUGAGUUAUUGAGUGACUUCCCCGCCUUUGCUCAUUGUAAAUGUCGGCCCCCUCCACAUUCCAGACAUACUCAACCAGCUUCUGUGCUACAUUUUGCUAUCUUCUGCCACCACCACUGCUCCCACAAAAUGGAAGGUUUUUAUCCCACCUAGGCUGCAUAUGCACUCGAAUCAUAUGAACAUAUUUGGGUGGAAGAAAUGAAUUCACUUCUGCAGCAGCUAUUCAAAUCAUCGGGCAAGCCUGUCGUGUUGAAAGAUUAUCUUUCAAUAGGGAGUUUCAAGGUGAUUAGUAGGAUGAUCUUGGGGGAAAACAUACAUUGAUGAGUCUAAGAACUUAAUUGUCACGCUCGAAGAGUUUAGGCAAAUGAUGGACGAGCUGUUUUUGCUGACUGGUGUGUCUAACAUUGGUGAUUCCAUACCUUGGAUCGAUUCCUUGGAUUUGCAGGGGUAUAUCAAAAGGAUGAAAGUCUUGAGCAAGAAAUUUGAUAGGCUUCUGGAGCAUGUUCUCGAUGAGCAUAAUGCCCAGAGGAAGGACGAAGCUGAUUGUGUCAGCAAGGACAUGGUGGAUGUCCUUCUGGACCUUGCAGAUGAUCCCACUUUGGAGGUAAAGCUAGAGAGGCAUGGAGUCAAGGCAUUGACUCUGGUAUAUGUUACUUACAAACUGCAUAAUGUGUGCUGUCAAGUUUUAAACGCCUAAAAACUUAGAAAGUAGUCAAUGAUCUUUUGAACUUGAAUACUCCCCAAAAUUUUCUUUGCUACAAAAAACUUGAGAGAAAGUAGUCAGGAUCUUUUGAGUUUGAGGAAAAUUUUUCAAUGGAGUCAGAAUUAACAAGAAAAUUUCUUUUUAAUCCUUCUAAAAGAAAUUGCUUUUGAUAAACGUACUCAAAUAAGUUAGUGACGAGUGCAGGGUAUACAUAUAACAAUUAGUUCAUUCCACAAUCAAAUUUUAUAUUUAUAACAUUCUAAAUUCGUUACAAGCGAUUUUUUGCAAGUGCAUGAGUUGUGAUUGAGUAUAUGGUAUUAAGGGUCGAACCCACAGAGAAGAUUUUCAAAUAUCGGGGAUUUUCGAACGCCUUUAUUAUUUAGAUUAUCAUAAGUGCAAGAAAUUGAAUCUACACUAUAAAUAUGAAGUAAAAGUAUUAAAUAUAACAAUAGGAAACUCCUAGAGGUAUGGAAUUCCUUACUACUCUUGCCAAUGAAAUUAUCGGUUAAUUGAAUGUUAUUAUCUUGGCUAGUUAUGGAGUAAUUUCUUAAUGUAUGUAAACCUACUCUCGUAGUGAAUCAAUUAUAUUUAUAGCUAAACCAUACUUACUCUCGUAGUUUUAAAAUUAACUAUAAGUUCAUUUCUUCCAUGAAAUUAUAUGAAACAAGUCACUAAAGUCACAUAGGUGCACCUUUACUCUCGUGAAUGUACUCCCAAAGUUUAUCAUUUCCUUGAACUAGUAUUAAAUUUCAAUUCUCACUGCAGACUUAAUACCUUAAUAUUAUCACAAUUAAUGGCCAAUUAAUCGUGAUUAGAUAAGCAAAAGUGAUAAAAUAACUUGUUCAAAAUAAUAUCAUCAACUAACCAAAUAAACAUCACUAACAAGAUAUAGGAAGUUCAUCGAUAACUCUAGGCAUAAACUUUAACUAAACAUGGAAACAAAUACCAAACUUGUAUUAUAGCUAAACAUAAAAUCAAAUACAAAAAAGAAAGUGCUAGGAGAGAAGUCACCCUUGUCGCAUGAGAUCCAACUCUCCAUCUUUGCUUUUCAAAUCAUCAUCCAAAUCGAACUAUAAACACAAAAAGGAUAAACUACACUAACUAUACUAUACUAAUGAACUAAGAAAAACUAAUGAAAACUAUAUUUUUGUGUAGUUUCUCUAGCCUUCCAAGGUUAUCAGAAUGUUUCUCAAAAGCUGCUAUUUAUAGGGAAUUCAAGCUCAAUAUGAGUUGUUUCUUGGUUGGCAAGGUUGGCUUUUGAAUUCAUCAAGAAUUAUUUUCCAAGUUUCCACACUUUUCUUGGUCAGAUACAACCGAAUUUGCUUACUAGAAUUGAGUUGGAAAAUUGUGUGAACAAAGAACAAGUUACAGAGCAAGUUGCAACUGAAAAUGAUAAAUACACGAUGGCGUGCGCGGGGUAUAUAUAUACAAUAAGUUCAUCCACAAUCAAGUUUUACAUUUAUAAUUCCUAAAUACCCUACACGGGAUUUAUCGCAAGUAUACGAAUCGUGAGCGAGUAUAGGGUAUUAAGGGUCGAUCCCACAGGGAAGAGUGACAAUUAUCGGUGUUUUUCGAAUUCUUUUAUUAUCUCGACUACCAUAAACAUAAAAUUAAUGAAAAUAACACUAGAAAACUCCUAGAGAUAUGGAAUUCCUUACUAUUGUAAAUGAGAUUAUCGGUUAAGUGCAUGCUAUUAUCUUGGUUAGUUAUGGCGUAAUUUCGUAAUGUAUGUGAAAUCUAUUCUCGUAGUGAAUCAACUAUACUUGUAGUUAUAAUAUACCUACUCUCGUGGUUAUGAAAUUAACUACAAUCUCAUUUCUUUAUGAAAUUACAUGAACAAGUCACUAAAGCCACAAAGGUACUUCUCUACUCUUGUGAGUGAAAUCCCUAGGUUUAUCACUUUUUUGAACUAGUGUUAAAUUCCAAUUCUCAUUGUAAACUUAAUACCUUUAGAUAAUCAUAAUUAAUGGUCUGUUAAUCAUGAUUAAAUAAGCAAAAGUGAUGAAUAACUUGCUCAAAAUAAUAUCAUCAAAUAACCAAGUAAACAUCGCUAACAAGAUAUAGAAAGUUCAUUCAUAACUCAAGGCAUAAACUUUAGAAACACAUAUAAAAACAUAAAUCCAAACUUAUAUUAUAGAUAAACAUGAACUCAAAUACAAAAGAGAAAGUGAUAGGAGAAAAGUCACCCUUGUCACAUGAGCUCCAACUUUCCAUCUUUGCUUCUCCAAUUUUCAUCCAAAUCUAACUACAAAUACAAGAUGGAUAAACUACAUUACCUAUAAUAUACUACUCUAACUAAUGAACUAAGUAAACUCUAGUGAAAGUUAUAUUUUUUGAUGAGUUUCUCUAGCCUUCCAAAGUUUUUUAAAAUGCCCUCCAAAGGCUUCUAUAUAUAGAGGAUUCAAGAGCCAAAUGAGUUAUUUCUGAUUGUCAUUUUUUACUCUUGAAACUCUCUAAGUUUGUUUCUCAAAGUGUCCAUGCAUCAUAUGAUCAUUUCCAGUCGGAAUCUUUGCAAAAAAAAUGAUCAAAAAGGUUGUGUAAAAAGAACACAAGUUGCAGAGCAAGUUACAGCCGAAAUAUACUAAAAUGCGGGUAUAAAAUGCGGCCUAUGCCCGAGUUUUGAGCCGUCGUUUUGCUCUUUUUGCAGGUUUGCCAAUUCUGGCCAGAUUUCAUUCUUGCUCUAUUUUUUAUCCAAUUUCUACUGAUAUUUAUUUGAUGAUGGAGACCGAACUAGCUCUUGUACAAAACAUGAAAAUUGUAUCCCUUUGAGUUAAUUUUCCAAUGCCUUAAGAAUCAUUCAAUUUGGAGCUCUGUGGACUGCGAAAUGAUCAAAAUACCAUGACUGGUCAAUCCAUUGUUCAGCUUUCGACCGUGCAGAUGAGCUUCUGUAUGUCGACUUUUUGACAAUGAAGACAACUGAACUGGAUUUCGAUUCUUCAUACCAAAUGUAGAUCUAUCUCUUAGAUCCAAAAUGGUUCAAGAAUCAUCUCAAUUUGAUCAUUGUAGCUCAAGAUAUUGCCAAAAUACCACAAUAUGUCAAAGCUGUGAAACUUGCUUCCUUUUAUUCUUGAUUGCUUUUCCUCUUUUGAAUUUCAUGUUCUCUUUUCAUCACUUUAAAUCAUCAUCAAUCACCCAAUUAUCUUCUAAAAUCAUGCUAUUUGAUUCUUGAAUCAUUAAACCUAUAAAACAUGAAGUUUUCACCAUAAAAAUCCAUAGAAAUGUAAUUUUUACCACUUUAACCAUAAAAUGCAUUUUUCACUAGAACCCUACUUAAUUAGCCAUAAAAGUAACUAAAACACACCAAAACUAACUAAUGAAACACAUUUAAAACACGUAAAAUAUACACUUAUCACACGACCUUAAAAAUGCGACCUUAGGUCUUGUAUUCCACCCUACAUUUUCUCCUUUACAAGUUUGCACUUUUUGGGUCGAAUUCAUCCUUGCUCUGUUUUUUAUCCAAUUUCAAUCAUAUUUUUCUUAAUGAUAAAGGUUGACCUAGCUCUUGUACAAAACACAUCAAGAAUCAUUCAAUUUGGAGCUCUGUGGAUCGCAAAAUGACCAAAAUACCCUCAACUAGUCAGAACUCUAUUUCAACUUUCGACCAUAAAAAUGCACUUCUAUAUUUUGCCUUUUUGAUAAUGAAAAUGACUGAACUGGACUUUGAUGUCCCACAUCAAAUGUAGAUCCAUCUCUUAACUUCAAAAUGGUAUGAGAAUCACCUCAAUCCGAUACUUGUAGCUCAAGAUAUAGCCGAAAUACGAAAAUAUAUCAAAGCUGUGAAAUUCCUUUCUUUUGUUCUUGUUUGCAUUCUAUCUUUGCACUUCAUGUCUUCUUUAAGCUAUUUCAAAUCAUCAAUAAUUAUUCAAAUAUGUUCUCAAUUCAUGCCAUUUGAUGAUUGAAUUCUUAAACCUACAAAACAUGAAGUUUUCACCAUUAAAAUCCAUAGAAAUAUAAUUUUUCACACUUAAACCACAAAAUGCAUAUUUUCACUAGAAACUUAGUUAAUUAACUAUAAAAAUAGUUAAAACACAUCAAAACUAACUAAUAAAAUAUGCUAAAAACAUAUAAAAUAUGCACUUAUCAGUAAGACAUUGUUGGCCAUGUACAGUCAAUUUGCAACUUAAAAAGUUUGUGGGUAAAGUCAGUUUGCAACUCAAGAAGUUCAUUAGAAGUUGAGUUUUGCUGAUAAGUACAUUGGUUCUAUUCAUUUGUUUAUUCUUUCCGAAAUUAUUAUAAUAUCCAUGACAGUGAGAUUUAUUUCACAUUCCAGCGGGAAGCGCAAAUAAUAAUUCUUAAGAAAUUCCAAGCCUAUUAUAAGCAAUUUUUUUGGUGCCAUGCUUGUGCAAGAAAUAGCCACUUUUUUUUUUGCAAUUUUUUAGGUUAUUCUCUAAACACGGUUUUAAAUAAUUUUUAUUUUUUGUUAUUACGUUGUCGUCCAGAUAUCACAUCCACAACAUUGAAACAUAAAUAAGUUUAAGAACUUCAAUAAUUGGACUAAGUUUCUUGCUGCACUUUGCUUAUUGAUUGAACUCUAGGACCUACUUGCUGCUGGAACCGAGACCUCAGCGACUACAAUAGAUGGGCCAUUUCGGAGCUACUGAAAAACCCAGAAAUAUUCUACAAGGCAGCUGAAGAACUCGAUCGUGUUAUUGGUCAGAAUCGAUGGGUGAAAGAGAAGGACAUGCCAAAUCUUCCUUACAUAGAGGCUAUUGUUAAAGAAGCAAUGCGUAUGCACCCCGUCGCAUUGCUAGCGCCAAGAUGUGCUCGCAAAGAUUGCAAAGUUGCAGGGUACGAUAUCGAAAAGGGAACUCGAGUCCUCCCCGAAUUGUGGGAAACGACAGAGGAAUUUUGCCCCGACAGAUUCAUGGGAAAGGACAUUGAAUUCAAAGGGCAAGACUGUAAGUUCCGACCAUUUGGUGCUGGAAGAAGAAUGUGCCCAGGGUACAAUUUAGGCCUCAAGGUUGUCCAAUCUAGUUUGGCCAAUCUUUUACAUGGAUACAGAUGGAAGUUGAGGACUUGGACAUGGAAGAAAUAUUCGGGAUUACUACACCAAGAAAGAUCCCACUUGUUGCCAUUGUUGGGCCUCGACUUCCUCGUAAUCUUUAUUCACUAUGAUUCACUACGUAAAUGUUUGAUCUCCCAGUAUCAUCAUUAUCAACUUCUGUUCAAAUAAAUCAGCCCUGUAAGUUUAGAAUUUGUAGCUACGCUUAUAUGUGUUUGCCAAUUGCCACAACGCUACAAACCCUUGUAGUUGGUGCAUGGCAUAUGCGUAAUCACUGAGAUUGUUAUGCCUAUUUAAAUCCAAAUUUGUGCACAAUUUUGUGAAACUGUGAAUAUGUACACCCCUGAUGUUCCAAAUACAAUCUAUAACAUUCUGACGCUAAUUUAAAUCUGUAAUGGCAGGUUUACAGUCAAAGCAAUGUGCUCUCUGCCAUCUUUCCUCUUAGCAUGGCCAGUGCCAGAAGUUGUUCCUACUUCCUAUGCACCUCUAAAUCAUCCCACUGGAUUGGUGCUGCUUUCCAUACUUGUUGGGAGGGAGAGAGAGAGGAAAGAAAAGAGGGGAGGGUGGGGUGGCUGUGGCAGUGGUGGCAAUGGGAAGGGAGGGAGGAGGAAGAGCAGCAGUAGUGUGGUGUGGGGAGGAAGAGGAAGAAGGGCGGAAAGAAAGGGAUAAAAAAAGGAAAGAAAAAAUACGCAAGAUUUGCAAUUUUUCAAACCCUCAAAUGCACAAAAGUUUUCUUACAAAUUUUGCAGUAAAGUAUAGUAAAAUUUUAUACGAACACCUAAAAAAUAGGAAUAAUUUUGGAAACCACCCUUGAGAUUUCUCAUAAUAUCACUCAGCUUUUUUAAGGUUUUUAAAAUCUUAUUUACUUUCCCUAUCAACUUAGCAAGAUCAAAUGUCCCUAUCAAAUGUCACAAAUUUAUAAUAUUACUGUUGCGCUCUUUAUAACUAUUUAACUAAAAAACCAAAACAAAAAGAGAAUUUUUAAAAGACCAAAAAAUAUAGAUGAAAAAAAAAACCAAAUUGCUAUCCAAUAUUGGUCCAUAUUUCUUUGUAUCAAGGUGGUGGUGGGACAGUAAAAGAUACAAGUAAAUUACAAUCUAGUUAAAAUCAAAUAGUUAGAAGGAUUUUGAUAAGUAAUUAACACAUUGAAAAUUUUUUCAGAAAAGUUAUGAGGAAGUCAAGAAAAUUUUUUAGAAAAUAUGUUUUAAUACGUGAUCUAAUUUAAGUUAUACUAAAAAUUAAAAUAACCUGUUCAUACACGUGGUUUGUAAUUUAAAUCUUACUUAUAGAAAAAAUUAUAUAAAUAAGUCAAAAUUAAAAAAUUAAUCAAAAACUGAUCAAAUGACCAAAUAUAUAUCUAGGAAUAUUCUUUUUUUUGUUAAAACGUCAUUUGUUAUACUAGGUAUAGUUAUUGUAUAUCUUCAAGAUUAUUCGUUAUUACUUUUAUACUUUCUCAUAUUUUCAUAUUUUUACUUUUUAACCUUAUUUUAUUUUUUAUUGUUGUUGUACGCUUCAUAAGUAGGAUAGCAUAAGAAUAGUAUUAGAAUAAAAGUUUUAUCUUUUUUGCAUUUCCUCCAAAGGGGCUAAAAUGUUAUGAAAAAUGUGAAUCCACGAGAGGUAUGUGAGAUUUUAAAAAUUCAAGGAGUGUUAAGUGAUAUUAUGAGAAAUGUCAAGGGAGGUUUCUGAAAUAACCCCAAAAAAUCAUCCAAACGCACCUUUUUUUCGUUGCAAAAUCUUUGUUUCGGAAUCCUAGUGCCAUAUUUACAUCUUCUUUAACUCUCCGUCUCUCCACAAAAAAAAAAAAGAAGCAAUUUUGGUAGCAAGCUACUUUGAAUAAGAUCGUGAAAUAAUUGACAAGUAUAGUAGAAAUUAGACAAGUAGUGAAAGCAAUCAAAUUGGCAAUAUAUCAGCAUAUAUAUUUAUAUGAACAUGUAUUCUAGUAUUCCACGAGCUAUUUUGUCUUGCCUUUCGUUCUCCUAGGAUAUGUUUUUCCAGCUUUAGCUGGACCAAAUCCUCAGAAUAUUAUUACUCCCCAAAAAAAAUCCGUCAAAUAUGGCUCUAUUGGCCAUGUAGGCGCAACGGGAAGUCCAUAAUUUUUUUUAAAAAAAUGGCAAAGGCCAUCGCGCCCUGGUUGUUUUUUGACCAGACUGUCGCGCCAGUGUGGCGCAAUGAACCUGGCAGCUACACGACGAGCCUUUUCUUUUUUUUUUUUUUUUAAAUGUAUUGUAAAAAUUGUGUAGGUUCCGUUAAGUUUUUUUGGUUAAGGGGGUUUUGGUUUAUUAAGUUUUAGCAUGUUUAAGAUUUACAGUUUAUUAUUAAAGGGUGCAGGGUUUAGGAUUUGUUAAGUUUGUCGAUAAAAGAGUUUGGAUAUGGCCAUUGUAGUUAAUAAAGGAUUUAUUAAGUUUGUUAAUGAAGUCAAUAACUUACUUAAAAAUUAAAUUUAACGUAAAUGUAUUAAAGAAAAAAAAUGAGUACAUAAAUCACGAUUUUGUAUUUUAGAAUUUAUAUAAAAUGCAAUAAUGUAAAAAGUUUAAUACCAUAUUGAAAAAUUAAUAGUUGUUUAUAGAACGUACACACAGUAAAAGUACUUUUAUAGAUCGUUAUUUGGUAUACGAUGAUAUUUGGCCGAACAAUGAUAAAUCCAUAGGCCAAAAAAUUGAUGAACAAGUUGAGUACUAUGGUUUCCAUCUUUCUCUGUAGUCAUUUUCAAGAUCUUUGUCAUGCACCGUGAUAUUAUUGCGAAAGAAAGUAUUCUCUUAAAUUGGACAUUUUACAAGGAACGGAUUUUUUGACAGGACAAUGUGCAACUCAUGCCAGACUCAAGAGCCGUGACAGCCGUCUUACAUAGAGCAUUCACAUUUCCGACUUAUUUCAUUUGAUUUCGGACGAAGGAAAUCACAUGUCAAAUUUCAUUUGAUUUGCGGUUGGAAGGCUAAGGAAGCUGUAGGUCCUGAAGCAAAAUUAGAUGGUCCCCAAAAAUUGCCAAACUAGUUUUCUUUUUCCAAAUUUCUAUUAUGUGAGCAAAUGAAAACUUUUAAAAUAUUUUUAAGCGUAACUACAUGUGCACAUUCUAUAUUCAUUUGUCUCUUUUUCAGUUUUUAUACUCCCUUAGGAUGUCUCAUCAUAAUUCCGUAAAAAAUGAAAAAACUAUGUAUAUAUAUAUAUAUAUAUAUAUUUUAUAAUUAGUCAAUUAUAAAUUGGUAAAGUUCUAAUCAAUUUCAUCCAUUAUCUAACUUACAAGAAAGCAAAAGAUAUCUUCUAAAUACAAAGUUCAAAAUGAAUUUUUAGUCUUUUAUAAUGACGUUCACAUGAUGUGUUGGUGGAUAUUCGUUUGUCCAUUUUCCGUUAAAGAAACUUUACUUAUUACAAUAUUUUCUUUUCACUCCUCUAAAAUAGUAUGAAAUAUUACCAUAAUUCUUAACAUGUCAUUAUUAAACCGAGGCUUAAGGAUUAUUGGAAAGUAAUCAUUAAAUAGUAUGAGUUACUUAUUCUUAAUAACUUUCAACGCAUAUUCGAGCAAUUUCGAGCACGAGCUCGAGCCUCACGAUUUUCCUACGAAUCGAAUUCGAGUAUGCGACAUUGAUAUUCGUCGAUCUCGAGUAUUAGACACUUCGUCGAACUCGAACUCGAUUAACGUAAUAUUCAAUCUCGAUUCGAUUCGUUAACACCCUUAUCUUCAAUUGUUGGAAUGCAAAUUCAGCAGCAACAUUCCAUGCAAACUGAUCUUUUUUAAGCAGCUCAAUGAGAGGUUUAGCAAUCACUCUAUAGCCUUUACCAAAUCUCCUAUAAUAUCCUAUCAGGCCAAAUCCUCCUAAUAUCGUCACUUCCCAAAAAAAUCCACCAAAUAUGGCUCUGUCGGCCAUGUAGCGUGACAGGAGGUCCAGAAUAUUUUUUUUUUUUUUUUAAAUGGCAGAGAGUCGUCGCGUCCUGGUUUUUUUUUACCACAUUGUCGCGCCAACAUGACGCAACGAACCUAGUAGCUGUGCGACGAGCCUUUUUUUUUAAAAAAUGUUUCGUAAAAAAUGUGUAGGUUCCGUUAAGUUUUGUUUUUAAAAGGGGUUUUGGUUUAUUAAGUUUUAGCAUGUUUAGGAUUUACAGUUUAUUAUUAAAGGGUUUAAGGUUUAGGAUUUGUUAAGUUUGUUGAUACAAGUGUUUGGAUAUGGCCAUUGUAGUUAAUAAAGGAUUUAUUAAGUUUGUUAAUGUAGUCAAUAACUUACUUAAAAAUUAAAUUAAACGUAAAUGUAUUAACGAAAAAAAAUGAGUACAUAAAUCACGAUUUUGUAUUUUAGAAUUUAUAUAAAAUGCAAUAAUGUAAAAAGUUUAAUACCAUAUUGAAAAAUUAAUAGUUGUUUAUAGAACGUACACACAGUAAAAGUACUUUUAUAGAUCGUUAUUUGGUAUACGAUGAUAUUUGGCCGAACAAUGAUAAAUCCAUAGGCCAAAAAAUUGAUGAACAAGUUGAGUACUAUGGUUUCCAUCUUUCUCUGUAGCCAUUUUCAAGAUCUUUGUCAUGCAGCGUUAUAUUAUUGCGAAAGAAAGUAUUCUCUUAAAUUGGACAUUUUACAAUGUGCAACUCAUGCGAGACUCAGGAGCCGUGACAGCCGUCUUACAUGGAGCAUUCACAUUUCCGACUUAUUAGUAUUGGACCAUUGGUAGGCUGUGUCGGACGAAGGAAAUCACAUAUCAAAUUUCAUUUGAUUUGCGGCUGGAAGGCUAAAGAAGCUGUAGGUCCUGAAGCAAAAUUAGAUGGUCCCCAAAAAUUGCCCUACGACAAACAAAUCUUUUUAAAGGUUUUUUUUAACUAAAUAAAAUAUUCCCUCUCAAAUUAGCUUUCUUUUUCCAAAUUUCAGUUAUGUGAGUAAAUGAAAGCUUUUACAACCAUUAGUUCUUUUAAAAUAUUUUAAAGCGUAACUGCAUGCACACAUUCUAUAUUCAUUUGUCUCUUUUUCAGUUUUUAUACUCCAUCUAGGAUGUCAAAUCAUUAUUUCGUAAAAAAGGAAAAAAAACUAUGUAUAUUUUUUCUUUAUAAUUAGUCAAUUAUAAAUUGGUAAAGUUCUAAUCAAUUUCAUCCAUUAUCUAACUUGCAAGAAAGGAAUAGAUAUCUCCUAAAUACAAAGUUCAAAAGGAAUUUCUAGUCUUUUAUAAUCACGUUCACAUGAUGUUUCGGUGGAUAUCCAUUUGUCCAUUUCCGUUACAGAAACUUUACUUCUUACAAUCUUUUCUUUACACUCCUCUAAAAUAGUAUGAAGUAUUACCAUAAUUCUUAACAUGUCAUUAUUAAACCGAGGGUUAAGUAUUAUUGGAAAGUAAUCAUUAAAUAGUAUAUGAUUUAAUUAUUCUUAAUAACUUUCAAAGUAUGUUUUAUGUUUAGUGUCUUACAUUCAUUAAAUUUAUUGUUUUAGUUCAUUUAUAUCCAUGUUUUCUGGAAAAUUAAAAUUCGAAGAUAAAAAGAUGUUAAUGCAAAUGCACGACUGAAUAACUGGUGGUCUAAUUCUGUUGCUUGCUUAUCCACAAGAAUUACCACGCCAACACUACAUUAAUACACUCAUACUUUUGCAUUUCUUAAUUACUUGCAUUACUUAUUCUUUCUUCCCAACAAUUCUACAGCCCAUAAUCAUCAUUCCAAUUUUAAUUCAAUAAUCUUCAUACAACUCUGAUGUUGAAAUGCCUUGAAAUGCCUCGGUUUUUGGGCCUAAAUUUUGGGUCCAAUCCGUUUUGGUUAUUUGGUUGUAUAUAUAUACCUUAUAUCCAUUCUGUACAAAAUAUCUGAUACAUUUCGAACCCUAAAAAAAUCUGAUUUUUUCCAAAUUUGUUCUUGCUUGUUCUUGUUUGUUCUUCCGUUCCGCUGCAUCUAUUUUAACAAACUGGUAUCAGAGUUCUAGGUUCAUCCUAGGGCUCAGAUCACGCAACAACAUGUCUGCUUUGAACAUCAAGAUCGACAAGUUCACCGGGAGAAAUAGUUUCAGUCUGUGGCAGAUCAAGAUGCGGGCUCUGUUAAAGCAACAGGGUCUGUGGAGUCCGCUGACGAAGAAGAAAUCGGAUUCCGUUGAUGAAGAGUCGAUGAGUCUGGAGGAAAAGGCUCACUCGACAAUCAUGCUAUGCCUGGCAGAUGAUGUCAUUACUGAGGUCGCCGGUAAAGAAACUGCUGCGGGUUUGUGGGUUAAACUUGAGAGUCUCUAUAUGACGAAGUCUUUAACCAACAAGUUGCUCCUAAAGCAACGUCUGUUCUGUCUACGUAUGCAGGAAGGUACUCCUCUUCGAAAACAUUUAGAUUAAUUAAAUACGAUUCUUCUUGAGUUGCGUAAUAUUGAUGUUAAAAUUGAGGAUGAGGAUGCCGCGUUGAUUCUGUUAGUGUUUCUACCGUUAUCGUAUGAGAAUUUUGUUCAGUCUUUUAUUGGCGGUAAAUAUACAGUGACUUUAGAAGAAGUAAGAUCAGCACUGCAUAGUAGAGAGUUGCGCCAUAAGGCGGCUGGUAAUGUUACAGAUAAUCAGGCGGCUGGGCUAGUUGUCAGCAGUGGUAAAGGAAAAUUGGGGAAAAAGACGUCCGGAAACAAGAAGCAGUUCUCCAAAGGUCCCAAGCCAGAUGAUGUCUGUAACUACUGCAAGGAAAAGGGUCAUUGGAAAUCUGAUUGUCCCAAGAAGAAGAAGCAGCAGGAAAAACAACACGCUUCAACUUCAGUUGCAGAAAAGGAAGCAGAAAAUUCAGAAGAAGACCUGGCCCUAAUUGCAAACGAACCAACACAUCACUCUGAUGUGUGGGUUCUUGAUUCUGGGGCGUCCUAUCACAUAUGUCCAAACAGGGAAUGGUUUACAACAUAUGAGUAGAUAGAUGGCGAAAAUAUCGUGAUGGCUAAUAGCGCUGUUUGCAAGGCUGUUGGGAUCGGUUCGAUUAAGAUCAGAACACAUGCUGGGAAAAUUGCCACACUGAACGAAGUCAAGCACGUUCCCAAAAUGACAAAGAAUCUGAUAUCACUUAGUACUCUUGACAGUAAGGGUUUCAGGUUCAACGGAGGAAGUGGAGAGUUGUGCAUCAGUAAAGGUUCAUUAGUGGUUCUCAAAGGAGUUAAGCACGGCAUCCUGUACAUCUUACAGGGUUCUACGCUAACAGGUUCUGCUGCUGCUGCUGUUGCGUCUUCUGAAGAUCGCAGGUUUGAUAUGACCAAGCUAUGGCACAUUAGGCUUGGUCAUAUGAGCGAAAGGGGGAUGCGGAUUCUGUCUAAACGUGAUUUUCUAGAAGGUCAAAAUGUCACCAAUCUUAGAUUCUGUGAACAUUGUACUUUCGGUAAACUACAUCGCAGAAAGUUUAGGAAGGCAAUUCACAGGACAAAAGCCACACUUGAUUACAUCCAUUCUGACUGUUGCGGUCCUUCACGAGUUGAGUCUUUGGGAGGCUGUCGGUAUUUUUUAUCCAUGAUUGAUGAUUAUUCAAGGAUGACUUGGGUAAUCGUUAUGAAGGAAAAAGGUGAAACUUUGAAGAACUUCAAGCAGUGGAAGGCCUUAGUGGAGAAUCAAACUGGAAAGAAGAUCAAAAGGCUGCGAACUGAUAAUGGUCUGGAAUUCUGUUCAAAAGAGUUUGAUGAGUUCUGCAAAGAUGAAGGAAUUGCUCAGCAUCACACAGUUCGACACGCACCACAACAAAACGGUGUAGCAGAACGCAUGAAUCAGACACUUCUAGAGAGAGCAUGGUGUAUGCUCUUCAAUGCUGGGUUGCCAAGGAGAUUCUGGGUAGAAGCAAUGAGGAUAGCCUGCUUCUUGAUCAAUCAUGCACCUCAUACAAGUAUAGACUGCAAGAUACCUUAUGAAGUGUGGUCUGGUAUGUCCUCUACUUACUCAAGUUUGAAGACUUUUGAUUGUACUACGUAUUAUCAUGUCAGUGAGGGCAAACUAGAACCAAGGGCUAAAAAGGGAGUGUUUUUGGGAUAUGGAGACGGGGUUAAAGGGUAUAGAAUCUGGUCACCCUCAGAAAAGAAAGUUAUACUUAGCAGAAGUGUAAUUUUUGAUGAAAACUCUAUACUUAACCCCCCUGUGAAGACUGUUGUUGAAGAAAGUGCAGGUGUUGAUAAACAGGUGGAGCUACAAAUCAUUCAAAAUGGUUUUGAAUCACAACAGUAAUUUGAUGAUCAUCAAUAGCUAUCUUUUGAAACUGAACCUCCUGCAGAAGUAGAGUCUCCAGAACCUGCAUCAGCCGAAAGGUUGGCAUCUAUAUCCUAUACUGCGUCAGAAACUCAGUAGCAUGGUAUUGCUUAUGAUCGUGCGAGGAGAGUGGGAGUACGACCUCCCAGUAGGUAUCAGAAUUUUGUAGGUUAUGCAUUUAAGGUUGCUGAGGAGGUGGAUUCUCGUAAUCCCUUUACCUAUAGAGAGGCUAUUUCAGGCAGUGAGUCAGAUCAAAGGCUUGCUGCAAUGGGUGAUGAGAUGGAGUCGUUACACAAGAACGGCACUUGGGAAUUGGUCAAACGGCUAGCAGAGAGAAAUGUUGUGACUUGCAAAUGGGUCUUUAAAAUGAAGGAAGGAAUUUCUCCAACUGAUGGCAUCAAGUAUAAAGCACGUGUUGUUGCAAGAGAGUUCGCUCAAAGAGAAGAAGUAGACUACAAUGAGAUUUUCUCACCAGUGGUCAGACACACUUCUAUCAGGGUGCUACUAGCAAUGGUUGCACAUCAGGACUUAAAACUUGAGCAGCUAGACGUGAAGACAGCUUUCCUACAUGGAGAGUUAGAUGAAGAGAUUUAUAUGACUCAACCAGAUGGAUUCCAUGUUCCGGGAAAAGAAGAUUAUGUAUGCAAGUUGAAGAAAUCCUUGUAUGGAUUAAAGCAGUCACCAAGACAGUGGUACAAAAGAUUUGACGGCUAUAUGAUUGAGUUCGGCUACAACAGAAGUCAGUAUGAUUGUUGUGUAUAUCACAACAAACUUAAAGAUGGUUCGAUGAUCUACUUGAUUCUGUAUGUAGAUGAUAUGCUCAUAGCUGCGAGGAACAAAGCUGAUAUACAGAAGUUGAAAAGUCUUCUCAGUGCAGAGUUUGAGAUGAAAGACUUGGGUGCAGCACAAAAAAUUCUGGGAAUGGAGAUUUUCAGGGAUAGAAGUCAGAAGAAGCUUUUCUUAUCACAGAAGAGCUAUAUUGAGAAGAUACUAUCCAGAUUUGGCAUGUCUACAGCAAAGCCCUUGAAUACUCCGAGUGCAGCAAAUGCUCAACUAUCAGUUACACUCGCACCACAGUCAGAAGUUAAGAUAGAGUAUAUGGCUAAGGUUCCCUAUUCUAGUGCAGUGGGUAGUUUGAUGCAUGCCAUGGUCUGCACUAGACCUGAUCUGAUACAUGCAGUCAGUAUUGUUAGCAGAUUUAUGGCUAAUCCUGGGAAGGAACACUGGCUGGCCGUGAAGCGAAUUUUUCGGUACUUGAGAGGUACAUCUGAUGUUGGUCUCAUCUAUGGAGGUGAUACAGAGUGUUUGGUUAUAGGCUAUUCAGAUUCUGAUUAUGCUGGAGAUGUUGAUAGUAGGAGGUCGAUGACUGGUUAUGUUUUCACUCUUGGGUAUUCUGUAGUUAGUUGGAAAGCAACUCUACAACCUAUAGUGACUCUGUCCACUACUGAGGCAGAGUAUAUGGCACUGACGGAGGCUGCUAAAGAGGGAAUUUGGUUAAAGGGGCUGGUUGGAGAUCUUGGCCUAUAUCAGGAUCAGGCUAAUAUAUAUUGUGAUAGUCUCAGUACAAUAUGUCUAGCCAAGGAUCAAGUUCAUCAUGAGAGGACUAAACACAUUGAUGUCUGAUAUCACUUCUUGAGAUCUGAGACAAGGAUCAAGGUGAAGAAAAUUGGCACUGCUGACAAUCCUACUGACAUGUUCACCAAGUCGGUUCCUCAUAGUAACCGGCUAAAUGUCCUAAGUUUCUGAUAGCCCUUAUGGGCAUUCUGAUGGUACUUAAAGACGAUUCUGAUGGUAAAAGAAAACUCUGAGUACGUCUGGCACUUCAUCAGUGCGUCUGUUACAUCUGUUUCCGAAAAGAUUCAAGUCAAGGUAGAGAUUUGUUGAAAUGCCUUGAAAUGCCUCAGUUUUUGGGCCUAAUUUUUGGGUCCAAUCCGUUUUGGUUAUUUGGUUGUAUAUAUAUAUAUCUUAUAUCCAUUCUGUACAAAAUAUCUGAUACAUUCCGAACCCUAAAAAAAUCUGAUUUUCCCCAAAUUUGUUCUUGUUUGUUCUUCCGUUCCGCUGCAUUUGUUUUAACAUCUGAACAUAUAACUAUAUUUGAUAUAAAUUCGUGACAUACCUGCAUUUCAAUUCUCAAAAUCCUAUGGCAUGCCUUACUUUAUAAUGGUGUUUAAUUACUUAAGUUCUUAAACAAUCAAUGAUAUUUUUUUUUCCAAACGAAAGCAUAUUCAUUUCCAGAAACUAGUUACACUGUAUGAGCAACUGCUCUUACAUCUGUUUUGGCUAAAUACAUAAGCCAUGUUGGAAAGAACUCCAACCAACAUAUUUCAUCCUUCAAGCUUAUGGCAAAUUUUACCAGCUUAUGAGACACACAAUUACCCUCCCGUCUUACAAAGGAGAAGUAACAUUCUUCAAAACCUCGGCUUAACAAUAGAAUAUCAGCUAGGAUAGUACCUGUAAUUGGGUCUUCAGCAUUCCUAUCCUUAAGCUUAUCCACCAUCAGUUUACAAUAUGAUUGAAUCUCCACCUUGUUCCAGCCCCUCUGCUUUGCCUUGAUAACAGCUUCUCUAAUGGCUAAUGCUUCCUUCACUGUUGGGUUCCCUUCCCUCCCUGCCCCUCCUGCCCAAACUCCUACUGCCGCCCCAUCCUCCUUUCUAGCCACCACUCCCCAACCUAUUCUCCUAAACUUCUGCUCCACAGCUGCAUCAGAGUUUAGCUUGAUAACCCCCAGAGGGGGUGGAUGCCAACUAUUCAAUUUCGUCACUCGGUGUUCCCUAUUAGCAUCUGUUUUGGCCUCCCCAUCUCUUGCUUCAUUGUAUUCCACCCACUCAUGCAUUGCCUUGUUUACAGUUCUUCCAGGACAGUUUCUAACUCCAUUAAACUGAAUUUGGUUUCUAUCCUUCCAUAUCUGCCAAAGGAUAUUUACUGUCAAUACAAUGUGAGUCUUCCCCUCAGGUCUCCUCUCAACAUCCAUCAAGCCAUUCCACCAAUGCCAGAACUUGUGCCUGAAUUCAUUUAGCCCAUCCCAGUUAAUUGGAGCUGCUUUCCAUAUAUACUCAAUAUGGCUGCAAAAGAAGAACAUGUGUUCUAUCGUUUCUGUCAUUUUCCCAUAGCAUCUACACCUGUCCUCCCCUAGACCUGUUCUCCUUUUAAUAACCUCAUUAACUGGUAAGACCUCAUGCAAACACUUCCAAAUAAAAUGCUUCAGCUUACACUUCAUGUUUAGAUUCCAUAAUAACUUCCACGCCUUGGAGUUAGGGGCAUUUCUGCUAUUGCUAGCUUCUUGCCUCUGCUUUACCUGGCUCUCCUCCCUCAUGUCUCUUGCCAACAUAUACCCAGUCUUCACAGAGUACUGACCAGAUUUGGUAAGUGGCCACACCAGUUUAUCCUUCCCCGCACAUACACUUAUAGGAAUAUCUUCAAUCUUCCUGCACUUUUCAUCACUGAAGAUAGAUCCUAACAGCUUUCUAUUCCAUUUACCAUUUUGAAUCAGUUCGUGUACCCUUCGAACUGUACAAUCCACUGGCUUGCUGGUUCUCACCAUGCCUGAUCCUCUACCUGGUAUCCAUCUAUCAGUCCAUAUGUUGAUUGUUUUUCCAUCCCCUACCCUCUUCCUAACACCACUCUCCAAUACCUCUCUUGCACUCAUGAUACUCUUCCAAAACCAUGAAUCCCCUGCCCUUAUUCUUACUCUCCAAAUGGACUCACCUUUGAAAUAUUUUCCUCUCAGUACCUUGCUCAUCAACAGAUUUGGAUUAGUCAGGAUUCUCCACAACAUCUUAGCUAACAUAGCACUAUUGAAGUCCUGCAAAUCUCUAAAGCCUAAGCCUCCUUUUCCUUUAAUGUCAGCCAGCUUCUUCCACUCCACCCAAUGAAUUUUCUUCUUGUCUUCACCAUCCCCCCACCAGAACCGAGCCAUUUCCUUACUUAUUUCUUUACACAAACUCUUAGGCAGUCUACAGCAAUUCAUAGCAUAUGCAGGCAUAACUAAAAUUACUGAUUUCAACAUCACUUCCUUACCAGCUUGGCUUAGCAAUUUUUCUUUCCAUCCUUUAAGUCUGCUUAUUACCCUCUCCUUGAUGUAGCUAAAUACCUGUCUCUUGGAUCGACCUAUAACCAUUGGUAGACCCAGAUACUUACUCUGUUUCACCUGCUGCAUUCCCCCCAAUAUCCUCAGAAUUUCUACCUUCUUCUCCUCCAUCAUGUUUUUGCUAAAGAAGACAGAAGAUUUAUCAAGGUUGAUCAUCUGUCCCGAGACUUCUUCAUAGAUUUUCAAAAUCUACUUCACUAAACAAUCAAUGAUAUCAAAAUCAUAAAACUUGUACCGUACAAUAGGAUGCUCUUCGCAUCAUGAUCAAGAGUUUAGCAAUUAAUCUCCGUUAUGUCACAAUUAAAUUCAAUUUCAUAGCUAGGGGUGAAAUUGCAAAGCAUUUGGUUAAUCGGAUGUUCGAACAAAUUUAAUUAAUUAAAUUUAAUAUGAAUUUAGUUCAGUCAAAUAGAUUUCGUUAUGGUCUUGGUAAAAACAAAAUUAUGAGAGUGCUUAAUUAGUUUGAAAGUAACUCUGAGUUCUUGAUUUUUUAUUUUAACUGGUAUAAUACACACACACGUACAAUAUGUUACACAUGUUCACUUCACGUUAUUGUGGAUAUUUAAUAUUCUUAAUUACUACUUUCUUUUAUUCUUUUUUCCAUCAUCUCUUCACUUUCCUUCUUUCUUUUUCUUGAUCACUUGCAUUUUGUGAAAUUAUUUUUCAUAUUUCCAAUAGUUUGCUUUACUUGCUUUUUCAUAUUUGUAAUUAUUUUUCAUUAAUAUCAAUUUCAUAAUAUAUAUGACUAACAUCUAACAGGGAUUUAUGCCUUUCCAAUUUGACAAUUAUUUGGUUCAAAAAACUUUAAAAAGAUUUGUUUUAUUGCAUGGCAAUUUUUGGGGACCAAUUAAUUUUGCUUCAGGCCCACAACUUCCUUGCUAAGCGUGUUGUGAGGGUUACACAGCGGCCUUGUUUAAAUUGUGCUUUUUUGCAAAAAAGAUUUUUACAUUUUUCGUAAAUAUAUAUUUUUUAAUUAUCUUUCUUAUCUCGUAUACAUCAAAUCGUUACGUUACAUUUUUUUAUAAAGCUCCUAAAAAUAGCAAUGCAAAUGGAGCCCUUCCAGCCACAAAUCAAAUGAGUUUUGAUGUCAUUUUCUGUGUGAAUUCCUUCUUUUGACAUGUAUCCACUUCGUAUGGUUGGAUCUUCCCGCUAUAGACCGAUCCGGUAGCAUAGUUUUUUUGCUCAAUCACUUAAGCUAUCAUGUUAGAGAUCAAUAAUCAGAGGCUUACAAACUUUCGUAAUUUUUCAGUUUAGCAUUGUCCCUUAAAACAGCUAUCAUAUUUGAACAGCUAUAUAACAAAACAAAACGCUCAUUAUAAAUACCGGCCUCCUCCACAUUCCAAAAAUACUCAACCACCUUCAUGUAUUUGCUGCUAUUUGUACAACUUUUCUGUGAUUAAAUAAAAUUCCCUUCCUCGUUAAAAUAAAUGAAAGAAAAUAUGAAGGCGAAAUUAAAUUGAUCUAAUUGAUAAUAUGUCUUUAUCACUAGAUGCCUCCUCAGAUAUUCUCAAAAACUUCCAUACUCUAACUAUAUAUCAUUUUUUUAACAUAAUACUACUUCUUGAACAAUUACUAGCAUUUCUUUUUGUAAUUUGAAUUACAAUUACAUUGCAUUGCAGCUGGAAUCUAACACUUAAAUGAGUGGCUUACAAGUUUUCGUAUUGCACUAAUUUUCUUUUGUAAACCAAUAAUCAAAACUUAAAACUUAUGCAAUUGGCUUUAGUGAUUAUCACUCCCUUGAUUAUGGGGUUUUGGUUCCGCCAAUGAUCACAAUAAUUUGCAUAGUGAGUUCUUGCUAGUAGUUAUUGAGUGACUUCCACGCCUUUGCUCAUUAUAAAUACCGGCCCCCUCCACAUUCCAAACACACUCAACCUCCACAUUCUGCCAUCUUCUGCCACCUCCACCACCCCCACUGCUCCCACAAAAUGGAAAGCUUUUCUCCCAACUGGGCUACUUGUGCACUCGUGUGGGUUGCAACGGUGGUUAUUAUCACCCAACUCUCGAAGCAUUUCCAUCAGAAAAAACUCAACCUCCCACCAGGUCCAAGAAUCUAAGAAACUACUAAAAAUUAAUUAACAAAUUACUAAAAUCAAAUGAAUGAUAAUUAAGGAUCUAGCCAAGGAAUAACUUCAGCAAUGGUUCACCUAAUUGAUCAUCGAUAAGCAAAGGCAAUUCCAAUUAUUUACUAAUAAAUAGGUUAUAACUGCCAAACAAGCGAUGACAGUCAACCCCUCCUUACUGUGUCGAUGAUUAAGGUACGCCCGUUAAUCACUGCUCUAAUUGAGAAAUAAUUCUAGGUACGCCCAUAGAAUUUAAUUCCCCAAUUGCCUUACGUAUUAGAGGAGCCCUAUUCUAAUCAAAUAACGCACUACCAGGGUUAUUUUAGAUUAGCCCGCGUAUUCCCCUAACACAAGUCUAAUUAUGCCAGUUGCCACUAUUUUAGAGCAAUUAAACAAUUACGGAUUUAAUGCCCUAAUUGACAAUAGAUUAUCCAAUCAACUAAUUAUCUGGAUCCAAGACAAUCAAUUAAUUAAAUAACCAUAAACAUAGCAACCAAGAAAUAUGCGGAUACCAAUAAAUGAAAGAAAAAGAUAAAAUUAAAUCGAUCUCACAAAUUUUAGGCGACCCAGAGCCUUCGUUGUUCCUUGACUAGAGUGAGGGAAUUAGUUCAUAAUUGAUGAACAAAAUCCACACAAAAUUGAAACAAGAGUCACGGCCAUCAACUCCGAAAUUGGGAAAUGCAAUUCACUCGAAGGAAUAAAGCAAAGUAAAGUAACAAUGGAUGAUUUAGUCUUCAGUGCUCCUGACUCACGUAGGAGGUAGCCACAAAAGAUUCCAAGGAAAAGUCAAAAGCUCUCCACUACAAGACGAAGGAGACCAAACGGUCAAAGGAAAAGCUAAACUAUAAAAAUGGAAAAACUAAGAGGGAAGCCAGCUCCCUGCUGUGCGGCGGCUCUGUGCGGCGCCCUCCCUUGCGGAGAGGACUCCGGAGGAAUAAGAAGCUCCCCACUUCAGCCCUGCGUUCCUCCUUUUAAUGCUGCCAUCUGCGAAUUACCAAAAAAAGACUUGUAUCUCCUUAUUCCAGAAAUGCCCUCGAUUGCCUGCUAUGUGAACUCUUUCUCGAUAACUGUCAAAUUAGCCUUUAUUGUGACAUUUUUGUUCUACUCCCUGAAAUAAAUGUAAAUUACGAAAAGUGAGUAGAAUCUAAUAAUUAAUUCACAUUGGGUUAAGUAAUAGGAAAAAUUAAUAAUAAAAUUAACUAUCAAAUUGCAACCUAUCAAUUUCCCCCACACCUAAACCAUGCUUGUCCUCAAGCAUAAGAAAAGUAAACAAGCACCAAUAUUUGAUAAUGGUCAUUGCUCUAUCCAACAAAUUGCCAAGGUACCAAGAAAAAUAAUAAUCAAGAAUCAAUGGUCAAGUCCAAGAAACAUCACUCCGGUUAGCUUCUAAACCACAAACUCCUCUAAUUUUAGGUUAACUAAUCUAAGAAAAAGGAAUGACGCAUAACAUUUAUCAGUAAAUGGUCCAACUAUUAACCAAAAUCUUCAACAUUAAAUCCAUAAUUCGGCAAGCUGACGUUUAUUACACACUAACACAACCUUCACUUGUUUUUUCUACUUUUUUUUUUUGUUUUUUUUUGUUUUUCAAUAGUAACAAAAGACUUAGUCGCUAGCCAUUUGAGCCUUUUGACGCGAACUCCAACAUUGGCCAGAUGAAGGAGCCCGGUUACUCAGCUUCUAUCGCCGCGUGACCACGUACUCAUAGCAAUUACUACUUUUUGACGCGAGAAUCGACACUUUUAGGUGCAGAUCCCCGGUUACUCAGUAGUAACUAAUAGCGGAGUACAGUCAAGUUUAUGCAUAGCUAAAAAUCACAAAAAGUCAAUAUAACACAAGAACCAAAAGAAAACUUGCAUCAGCUAGCCUCAUUUUCAAACAUGGAGAACUAAAGUUAAUAACCGGACCAAUUCACUAAAAAUGCCAACAAUCAUUCCCUAUGCCUAAGAAAGUUAACCAAAAAUUAUAAGAGUAAAACAAUUAUUGAUAUUCACCAAAGAGAUGUUCUUGAAUUCAACCACAUUAACUUGAUACCCUUUUAUUAUUAAAAUUGGCAAUAGUAGAAACAGAGACAAUAAUCCAACAUCAAACCUUGGCAUGCACUUACGAAAAAAAAAAAAAAAAGAAAAAAAAAAAGAAAAAGAAAAUGAACGAAAGACACUAGCACCAUAACUGCUCCCCCCCCACACCUAAAUCCUACAUUGUCCUCAAUGGAGGUAAUAAAGUAAUGAAAGUGAAGAGGACAACGAAACUUCCCUGUUGAACAGCUAAGGGAUAGGAGGAAACAGUGGAGGGAAACCGAGUUCUGAGACAUCCUUGCCACUUGGCGGGUGAUGUUCGUCAUUUGCUCAUCUACGUUGUGAACCUGUGCUUGUAAGUGGCGUCAUUCACCAUUGACGCCAAUUAUCACCCCAAACAACAAAAGACAGAAUAUCCAACAAUGAUAGCAACCAACAAAUGCAAAUCCAUAGUCACUGGCGUUCCCCAACUCAAUAGUCAAAUGCAAAAGCAAACACGGGCACCCAAGCCCAAAUAUGGUCAACAAAGCAACAGUUGCACUCCAAAAUCAACAACCAGAAACUAUUAUCAAUAACUGGAAACUAGCAAAGUCACGUCAAUAAGCACAGGGACUACCCAAUUCAGUUAGUCAACAAGCAAACUUGGGCCAUCCACACUCUCAACAAAUGCAUUCUAAAAUUUCAACAAAUGCCUCCACCAGUCAAACCAUAACAACUGCCCCAAUAAUAUGCUAAAUUCAGCAAUAGAAGUGUAGAAAAUUAGCAAUAGCAACACAGUCACACGGUCUUGGCAAUUGAUCAAAUAUCCAACCAACUAGAGUUAACAAGUUCCAGAUAAAAUAUUCCAAUAAUAGCACCUAAAGACUCAACAAAUGCCCCCAGAAAUUUUAACAAAUGUUAUAGCAGAUCAAAGCAAUGGUAGAGCAAUAGCCCCAAGUAUGUACUAAGCCACCAGGUGGGAACCCCGGCCACCGAAGUCACAGACAAUGGUCUCCAGAAGUGCAAUAUUAACCAAUCACUAAGAUGCCCCCAACAAUUAAACGAAAUUCUAUCACCCCCAACAAGCUAGGUAAGCAGCACAGGCUCCCAAUUCAACAAAUAACAGUAGGACUGAUUAACUCAAAGUCCCAACAAAGAGCUCAAGGAAACGAGCAAUUGACAUCGACCGACAGAGUACUUGAAAGCAAAGCAAUCAACUAAGAAUGUCGCACUCAACCCAAUAAACCCUGUGGUGCUCAAAUGGGUAAUUAACAACAAUCCCAAUAGCAGGGAACUCCUCCAAAUAAUGCCAAUCAAUUUAAGCAGAUAAUGCAGCCACGGAGUUUUCCAAUCCAGCCAAGCAAUUAAGUCCAAGAAAUAGUGCUGGAAACAAUUGGGUAUAAGUGUUCUAGGGGUGAAUACCUCCACCUGUUAUGGAAGAGGGAUAGCGCGUGGCCGUGGUGGCGAGUGGCUGUGGCUGCUGGCGGACAGAGUGAGAGAGCAGGGGGAGAAAGCAGCAGACAGGGGAAAAGGGCUGCGGCCUCCGUGUGCAGAGCAGCAGCGGCGGCUGAGAAGCUGAGUCGCUCGCAAGGGGCUGCUGGAUAGAUCGACGGGCAGCGGCUGGCGUGCGUCCGUGGCUUUGGGAGGCAGCGGCGGCGGCACAGAGGAUGGGCCGCGGCUGGCUGGGGUCGCGGGCGUGCGGCCAGUAGCAGACAGUAGAGGCGAAGCGAGCUGCCCGCGCUUGCGGGAGUGGAAGGCGGCUGUGUGGACGGCGCUGUCUGGCGGGCGGCGAUGCGGGCUGGUGGAUGUCCGCUAGACGGCGGCGGUGGACCAGAGAGGCAUCGGGCCCGCGCGAGAGCUUUGGGUCUCGGGCAAGGCGGAACGGCGUCGCGCGGUCUGGUCGAGGAAGAAAAGAGCUGGCAGCGUGGGCGGUGCGUGCGACGGCAGGCUGCGGCAGUCGCGGCGAGCUUGGGCUUGGGCUUCGUGAGCAGAUGGUGGUGCCGCGCCGCGAUGGGGAUGCUGGUAGGAGCCGCGGAGUGGUGGAGGUGGUCGCGAGAUGGUGCGAAGAUGAAAGAAAGGAGGUAGAGCUGGUGGCGGUAGCUGUGGGCGGCAGCAGACCAGAGAUUCGGUGGAGCUGGAGCCGAGGUGGAGAAGAAAGAAAGAAAAGAGAAAGAAAGAAGAAAAAAAGAAAGAAAGAAGAAAGAAAAGAAGAAAAAGAAAAAGAGAGAAAUUGCUGUUUGUUGUUUUUUUUUUUCAAAAAUGUUUCUUUUCUUUUUUUUCUUCCAAUUAUGAGGCUCUUUGAGCCACGGAAAUAAUUUUCCUUUUACAAAAUAAAAAUUUUUUUUUUUUUUUGAAAUUUGGAAACUAAAGCUACGGUGAUAAGAAAUGUUUAAUUUUUUUUUUAAUCCUUACCUUUCCCGCGAACGUGACGCGGGCACGUCAAGAGGGCAAGAGAGCUCCCAGAAGUUUCAGAAAUUUCUGAUCGUGAGCUUCCUGCACGUCACCACGCGGGCACGUCAAGAGGGCAAGAGAGCUCCCAGAAGUUUCUGAUCGUGAGCUCCCUGCACAUCACCACGCGGGCGCGUCAUGACUGAAGGGCACCUAUAAAUCAGCAAAAACGAAAAUUAACACCCAAAAUCAGUCAAAUUCAAGGAAAGCAGAUUUAAGCUAUGACACGAAACCAAUCAAGCAAUUAAAAGAAACAAUUGGGUUGCCUCCCAAUGAGCGCCUUUCUUUAAUGUCUUUGGCUAGACAUUAUCAUGUUUUGCUCAUGGCGGAUAAAAUCUUGUAGCUCGUCUUAAUGCUUCAUCCUCUAUAUAGUCCUGAUAACCCUCGUAGAUGGAGUAAUUCUUGGGCACACGAGUUACGGGCUUCCAUGGACUAAUAAAUGGCGCUAAACAAGUCAACAAUGAUCUGCAUUCUCCACUCACUCCUCCAUCACACGCAUUCAUUGGUUCAAGAUAUUUUGCCAUCUCCACUCUUAACUUAUUCCUGUCAUGAAAUUUUAAAUUUUCUGGUAUAAUAAAAUCAAUUUCAGUAACAGGAGUUGAAGAAUAGGAGUCAGGAAAAUAUUGAUUAAGGAGUGGAGAAGAUGUCACCGCAUUUGGAGAUUGUUCACUGGAAUCGUUCACUUGAAUGAGUUGAUCCUGGAGUCUCAUUUCUUGCACUUCAGCUUCCUUUUCAACUGCAUCUUUAAAUCCGUUUUCUUGAAACUCUUGCAGUUCCAUGUCAUUUGGCCGGACAAUUGCACUCUCAUCUUCUUCUAGAUCAACAAUGGUUUCCGAGGGCAAUUCUUCCCUUUGAGAAGCCAAUCGAUUCACUCUGGAUGUCAAUAGACAUAGUUGAUCUGCCAGAUAAUUCAUUGCAUCCUUCAUCAUCUCAUCCUCCAUUUGUGUCUCCUGUUGGAAUUGGUAUGUGUUAGUAGCUAUUGGUUCAACUAUUUCUUCAGGAUACAUACCUGACAUAGAUGACGAUUCUUGAGACUCAUACUGCUGAAAAUUCAUUGGCCCCGUUGAAUAAUUAUAAUUGGAGUUUUCCCACCAUCCUUGAUCAUACCCGUAUGGAUUAGGGUCAUACCACGUUUGAGACCAGGGUGAAAAAUCUCCGUAAUUAUUGAAUGGGACACUCUGAUUAUCUUGAUAUUCGGGGCACAUACCUGUUGAAUGAUCCCUGGCAUAACAAAUUUUACAGGUUGCAGCAGCCAUUCUUUUUCUAAUAGAGUUUACUGCCUCUGCAUAUGCAGACUCAGCAAUAAAACUAGUCACAUCGCAUUUUCCGGAAAGAAAAUCCAGUAUUUCACCAAAAUACGAAGUGUUAGAAGCCAUAAAAAAAAUAAGAGAAAAAAAAAAUGAAUUAAAAAUGAAAACAAGGUGAACUCAAAAAGAAACAAAUUAAUCUGACACCAGUCCCCGGCAACGGCGCCAAAAAUUGACAGGUUGUCGAAGCCUGUGCAAUAAUAAAUACCUGCUCAAACUAAAAGUGAUUUCUGUAGAUAGCGGUGAGCAGGAUCGAAUCCACAGGGAUUGGGAGUAAUUGUUUCUUUUCAAGUUCACAGUGACAAGGGGGGUGUUUUUAUGCAGAAAGUGACAAUCAAAUAAAUGCAAAUAAAAUCUAAGAAGCUACUAAAAAUUAAAUAACAAAUUACCAAAAUCAAAUGAAUGAUAAUUAAGGAUCUAGCCAAGGAAUAACUUCAGCAAUGGUUCACCUAAUUGAUCAUCGAUAAGCAAAGGCAAUUCCAAUUAUUUACUAAUAAAUAGGUUAUAACUGCCAAACAAGCGAUGACAGUCAACCCCUCCUUACUGUGUCGAUGAUUAAGGUACGCCCGUUAAUUACUGCUCUAAUUGAGAAAUAAUCUUAGGUACGCCCGUAGAAUUUAAUUCCCCAAUUGCCUUACGUAUUAGAGGAGCCCUAUUCUAACCAAAUAACACACUACCAGGGUUAUUUUAGAUUAGCCUGCGUAUCCCCCUGACACGAAUCUAAUCGUGUCAGUUGUCACUAUUUUGAGGUAAUUAAACAAUUACGGAUUUAACGCCCCAAUUGACAAUAGAUUACCCAAUCAAUUAAUUAUCCGGAUCCAAGACAAUCAACGAAUUAAAUAAUCAUAAGCAUAGUAAUUAGAGAAUACACGAAUACCAAUAAAUAAAAGGGAGAAAUUAAAUUAAAUCGAUCUCACAAUUUUUAGGCGAACCAGAGCCUUCGUUGCUCCUUGACUAGAUUUGGAAAAUUAGUUCAUAGUUGAUGAACUAAACCCACAGGAAAUUGAAGUAGGAGCUGCGGCCAUUGAUUAGAAAAUUGGGCAAUGCAAUUCACCCGAAGGAAUAAAGCAAAGUAAAGUAACAAUGGAUGAUUUAGUCUUCGGUGCUCCUGACUCACGUAGAGGUAGCCACAAAAUAUUCCAAGAAAAGUCAAAAGCUCUCCACUACAAGACGAAGGAGACCCAACGGUCAAAGGAAAAGCUAAACUAUAAAAAUGGAAGAAACUAAGAAGGAAGCCAGCUCCCUCUGUGCGGCGGCUUUGUGCGGCGCCCUCCCUUGCGGAGAGGACUCCGGAGGAAUAAGAAGCUCUCCACUUCAGCCCUGCGUUCCUCCUUUUAAUGCUGCCAUCUGCGAAUUACCAAAAAAGACUUGUAUCUCCUUAUUCCAGAAAUGCCCUCGAUUGCCUGCUAUGUGAACUCUUUCUCGAUAACUGUCAAAUUGGCCUUUAUUGUGACAUUUUUGUUCUACUCCCUGAAAUAAAUGUAAAUUACGAAAAGUGAGUAGAAUCUAAUAAUUAAUUCACAUUGGGUUAAGUAAUAGGAAAAAUUAAUAAUAAAAUUAACUAUCAAAUUGCAACCUAUCAUUCCCGGUUGUCGUUGGCUCCUCUGUGGAGAUGGCCAAAGUUUUCCUCAAAACCAUGGACCUCACAUUUGCAGGGAGGCCUAAAACUGCUGCCGGAAAAUAUACCACUUAUAAUUACUCCGACCUGCUUUGGUCCCCUUACGGACCAUACUGCUGCCAGGCACGUAAGAUUUUCCUUACGGAAUUAUUCAGUGCAAAAAGACUCGAAUCAUACGAACAUAUUCGGGUGGAAGAAAUGAAUUCACUUCUGCUGCAGCUAUUCAAAUCAUCGGGCAAGCCUGUCGUUUUGAAAGAUUAUCUUUCAACAGGGAGUUUGAACGUGAUUAGCAGGAUGGUCCUGGGGAAAACAUACAUUGAUGAGUCUGAGAACUCAAUUGUCACGCCCGAAGAGUUCAGGCAAAUGAUGGACGAGCUUUUUUUGCUGACUGGUGUGUUUAACAUUGGUGAUUUCAUACCUUGGAUCGAUUUCUUGGAUUUGCAAGGGUAUAUCAAGAGGAUGAAAAUCUUGAGCAAGAAAUUUGAUAGGUUUCUGGAGCAUGUUCUCGAUGAGCAUAAUGCCCAAAGGAAGGACGAAACUAAUUGCGUCAGCAAGGACUUGGUGGACGUCCUUCUGGGCCUUGCAGAUGAUCCCACUUUGGAGGUGAAGCUAGAGAGGCGUGGAGUCAAGGCAUUGACUCUGGUAUAUGUUACUUACAAACUGCAUAACGCAUGCUGUCAACUUUUAAACGACUGAAAACUUGACAAAAAAUAGUCAGUGAUCUUUUGAACUUGAAUACUCCCCAAAAUUUUCUUUGCUACUGAAAACUUGAAAGUAGUCAGGAUCUUUGGAGUUUGAGGAAAAUUUUUCAGUGGAGGCAGAAUUAACAAGAAAAUUCUUUUUAAUCCUUCUAAAAGAAGUUGCUUUUGAUAAAGGUACUCAAACAAGUAAGACAUUGUUGACCAUGUACAUUCAAUUUGCAACUUAAAAAGUUUGUGGGUAAAGUCAGUUUGCAAGUCAAGAAGUUGAUUAGAACUUGAGUUUUGCUGAUAAGUUGGUUCUAUUCAUUUGUUUAGUUUUUGCCAAAUUAUUAUAAUAUCCAUGAUAGUGAGAUUUAUUUCACAUUCCAGAGGGAAGCACAAAUAAUAAUUCUUAAGAAAUUCCAAGCCUAUUGUAAGCAAUUUUUUUGGUGCCAUGCUUCUGCAAGAAAUAGCCACUUUUUUUGCAAUUUUUUUUAGGUUAUUCUCUAAGCACGGUUUUUAACUAAUUUUUAUUUUUUUUAUUACGUUGUCAUCCAGAUAUCACAUCCACAACAUUGAGAAAUAAUAAGUUUAAGAACUUAAAUAACUGGACUAAGUUUCUUGCUGCACUUUGCGUAAUGAUUGAACUCUAGGACCUACUUGUUGCUGGAACCGAAACCUCGGCGAUUACAAUAGAAUGGGCCAUUUCGGAGCUACUGAAAAAUCCAGAAAUAUUCGACAAGGCAGCCGAAGAACUCGACUGUGUUAUUGGUCAGAAUCGAUGGGUGAAAGAGAAGGACAUGCCAAAUCUUCCUUACAUAGAGGCUAUUGUUAAAGAAACAAUGCGUAUGCACCCCGUCGCAUUGCUAGCGCCAAGAUGUGCUCGCGAAGAUUGCAAAGUUGCAGGGUACGAUAUUCAAAAGGGAACCCGAGUCGCCGUCAAUGUUUGGUCAAUUGGGAGGGACCCCGAAUUGUGGGAGAAGCCAGAGGAAUUUUGGCCCGACAGAUUCAUGGGAAAGGACAUUGACUUCAAAGGGCAAGACUGUAAGUUCCUGCCAUUUGGUGCUGGAAGAAGAAUGUGCCCAGCGUACAGUUUAGGCCUCAAGGUUGUCCAAUCUAGUUUGGCCAAUCUUUUACAUGGAUACAGAUGGAAGUUACCAAAUGACAUGAAACCUGAGGACCUGGACAUGGAAGAAAGAUUCGGCAUUACUACACCAAGAAAGAUCCCACUUGUUGCCAUUGUUGAGCCUCGGCUUCCUCGUAAUCUUUAUUCACUAUGAUUCACUACGUGUAUGUUUGAUCUCCCAGUAUCAUCAUUAUCAACUUGUGUUCAAAUAAAUCAGCCCUGCAAGUUUAGAAUUUGUAGCUGCACUUAUAUGUGUUUGCCAAUUGCCACAACGCUACAAACCCUUGCAGUAGGUGCAUGGCAUAUGCGAAAUCACUGAGAUUUUUAUAGCUAUUGAAGUCCAAAUUUGUGCGCAAUUGUGUGAAACUGUGAAUAUGCACACCCCUGAUGUUCCAAAUACAAUCUAUAACAUUCUGACGCUAAUUUAAAUCUGCAAUAGCAGGUUUACGGUCAAAGCAAUGUGCUCUUUGCCAUCUUUCCUCUUAGCAUCUUCCAUCAAUUCCCCUCGCCAAGGCCAGAAGUUGUUCCUACUUCCUGUGCACCUCUAAGCCAUCCCACUGGAUUGGUGCUACUUUCCAUACUUGUGCAAUGUCAGAGAAAAAGGGCAUAUGCUCAAGCGUUUCUGUUUGGUCCUCACGGCAUCUAUACUUAUGAUCCUCUUUCCCUGUUCUCUGCCUAAUUACGUCAUUCACGGAUAAUAUUCUUAGGAGACAUUUCCAGAUAAAAUGUUUAAUUAUGCUUAAUUUUGAGACUUCAAAGAAUCUUAUUAGAUAUGCUUAUUAAAUUUAUUUGGGCAAAUUACAUAUAAUCCCCUAUAGUUUUGUAUAAUGCCAAAUGAUGCCUCUAAGGUUUCAAAAUAGCCGUAUAACCCCCAUGAUUUUAUGUAAAGUAAAAAAUAGAUGAAAUGAAUAAUCAAUUAUAGUGAUUAGACCACACGUGCUCUAAAAGUGGGUGUAAUUAAAUCAUAAUUUCAAUUUAAUCCCUCAUAUUGCAUAAAUGUCCACUUUAUCUUGGUGGUCUUUGCAUUUAUCCAUAUAAUCCCCGUAUGAUGUUGUACAAGAUGGCAAAUUGUUGUUUGAUUUAGCAUUUAAAUAAGGGUAAUACUGUUAUUUCAACAAAUGGCGUCAUAUAAACUAUUUUUUGUCAAAUUUCUAAUUUAUAUGAAACCAUAGGGGGUGAAGUGAUUAUUUUAAAACAUUGAGGGGUUCUAUGACAAUAGAUGAAACUACAGGAAUUUAUCCAAUUUGUUUUGUUCAUUAGUUUAGGUACAUGGACAUAUAUUGCGCUGCGUGUGUUUUCAAAUUGAAUUCUUAUUGGGUUCAUACCAUGUGAAUCAUGUGAAAUAAAUCUCUUAGCGUAACAUGUGGUUGAAAGUUAUUGAAUUUAAUAAUUUCGUAGGUUAAUUGCAUUGCAAUUUAAUUAUACCAAAGAUGGAAAGGGACUGUUUUUCAAGCCAUGUGACUCCACUUGUCCUAAUAUUUAUUUUCUCAAACAGUGAUAACUACUGAAGAUAAAAAAUUUGUUGUUUUUCCAGUGUUUAGAAGCAAUACUGCUGAUUGUGGAGCUUUAUUGUGGUCAAUGUGGAAAGAUUAAAGAGCAAAGAAAGGAGAAACAAAAAUGUGCUUAGCAUCACAUGCACAAAAAUAUACACAACUUCAAAGGACGAAAUUCCACAGGGAAGCACUCCUAAGCAAUAGUUUGUUGAGAAUUCUUGCACUUGAGCUUGAUUGCGGGGGCUUGUUAUAUAAGUUGGUCGGAAAUGAGGUGACGGUAUAGAAAAAUAAAACGAAAAGUUGAAUAAUAUUCAUGCCAGGAUAUGGGAGCUUCCACGCUAAAUCGAAUAAUAAUUGUCUUGAAUGGUUAACUAAAGUUGCCUCCUUAAAGUUUGGUAAAAUAAUUAACAUUUUUUCAAUACAAAGUUUUGUUUGCGCCUCACAUUUGUGUUUUACCAAUUUUAUCUUCUUCUUUUUUUCAAAACAAUAAGCGGUUCCUAUUGAUCACAAAAGCUGUACAGUUGCGAGCAAUGGCUCGAUCAGACUAUACAAUCACUGUACUUGAACACUAAUAGCUAGUUUGGGAGCAUAAGAUAGAAAAGAAAAAUGAGAAAACAUUAUGAAAGAAAAAAAAGAAGAGAAAAUAAUGGUAGUGAUUUUGAUGUUAUUUGAGAGUUUAAGAAAAUAAUGGAAUGAUUUUGGAUAUAUAUGUUAUUAAAAUUUUGUUUAGUGCUCAUCUAAGUAUAUAAUUUGUAUUUUGAAAAAAUUUGUAGAUUUUCUUCAACAUUCUGUCCAAAUCAGGUCAUAAAUGAGCAUAAAAGUUUUCUAACUGUUGUUCAAAUUACAAAACAGAAAUGGAAGUAUCAUGUUAAAAUAAUGAUAGUUAGAGUAUGGACUUUUUUGAGAAUAACUGAGGAGGCAUCUAUUGACAAAGAUAUGUUGUUAAUUAGAUCAAUUUAAUUCCUCCUUCAUACCUUCUUUCAUUGUUUUUAUAAAGAAGAUAAUUUCAUUCAUUCACACAAAGCUGUACAAAUGGCGGUAAAGACAUGAAAAACAUGUAAUAGAAACAACAGAUAGACAUGAUUACUUAACAACAUACGAAUUACACUAAGAUUGUACUAUUUUAUACCUAACGUUGUAAGAAUUACACAACUGGAUAUAACUAGAAGAGACUUCAAUUGAAGAGGCCCCAGAUCAACCACUUAAGGGAACUCAAUUUCAUUUUAUUUUGUUUUAUAAUUUUUAUUUAUUUUUCUUGGCUUAACUGGCUUCUUUCCUGCAAGUAUUUUCUGCUUGAGCACCAAAACAGUCCAAAGAACUAGCGAGCAAGAAUUGAUGCAAGGAACCAAAACAAUACAAACUGUUGGUAUAAGGUGCAAGCGGAAUGAUAUAUAAUAAAAAUUGUACUGAUGAUAAAGAUGAUGGAGGCGAAACAUCUUAGCCAGUUCUCUAUGGUUUAUAGAAAAUUACUUCAUUCCCAGUUUAUAUCAAAACUGUUUCGCACUUUUAUCAUUUUCUGAUAUAGUUGCGAAAUUUAGAGGUUUUGCUACUAACAUCUAUCGAAAGUUUAUCAGAUCAGCUAUUUCAAUCACCAAAGACGAUCAAUUUUUUGGCUUAAUUUGGUGUUCCCUCGAAGCCUGAGCAAAGCAGCUUGUUAUCUUCAAAACAGAUGUUCCAAUACUGAGAGGAAUUUAUUCCAUUCCGAGUUUUCUUGUAGGACAUAUUUUCAUGAUAGUGAUUGAAGGAAAAUGUUUCCAUCACUUCCAAAAUGCAUUUUCAAUUUCGAUACGUUUUCAUUAAUGGGUUCAUUUUGGUCGAAUCGAUGGGUAUUCUCUCAAUUCUGACAUGCAUUCAUUAUUUAAAACUCGAGACUGAGAAGUGAAGCUACCAAGCUAAGGGGAUCAAAAGCCAAGGUGUCGGCAGAAUUAGGCAGGCUAACAACAAGGCGACUGAUGCGAUAGAUACAAGGUAAUAUGAAAGAGACAAACAAGUGUCGGCAGAAUUAGGCUGGUUUAUAACAAAUCGACUGAUGUGAUAGGUACAAGGUAAUAUGAAAAAGAUAAACGAACGACAAAAUAAAAUAAAAAGUGCACCAGAAACAAAACCCAAAUAUUUUCCUAUUGUCAUGGCGUAAUCAGUGGUGGAUUUAGGACCCAAGAUUAGGAGGCAAUUACUACGAUUAAGGCAAAAAUUUUGUUGACAAAUGUUAAUAACCAGUAUGGUAGUUAUGUGAAUUUUAUUGAAAUUAUAUAGUAUUUUGCAACAAUAACAACUAGAUGAUAAUUUUUUUGUAUAGUAGACAACAAAAAAUUUUAUGUUUAUUUUUAUGUGCCCAAACUUUUGAAAUCCCCUUUUUUCCCCUAAAUUUUCUACUACUACUUGUCUUCAUUUUAAACGUGCCAUCAUUUAUAAACUAGGGAUAAAUUUAGAAACCUCCCUUGAGGUUUUUGACAAUUUCACUCAACUCCCCUGAAGUUUCAAUAAUUAUAUAGACCUCCCUUGGUCCAAUCAAAUGACUAAAAUAUCCUUCACUUGGUAGUUAAUUCAUAAAGGGACAUUUAAAUCCGUAAAAUACUUCUUAUUAUUUUACUUGUUAUUUAUUCAUCUCAAAAAACAACCUCCAUCCAUUUCCUAAUGUUCAUUUCUUCCUCUGUCAGUCCUUCUCUCUUUCCCUCUUUCUUACUCUUCUCUUUUUUUCCUCCUAUAAUGGCUUCUCCCUCUCACCAAAUAUCAUGCUUCAUUGUUACCAACCACACCACUAUCAAUUUUUUAUCAUCUCCAAAAUUUAUCUGUAUUUUUUUGUCUUCUUGCCUCUUUCUUACUAUAAAACUUUUAGACCCUUUCAUUUUUUUUUCAAUGUUUUUACUCUUUACAAAUGUUAGCCAAUUGAAGUCCCCAAAUUAAUAAUGUGCAUACUGUGAAUUUUAUUAUUAAACUAGGGGAAGAUUAAAAAGGUGGCAAUGAUAUAGGGACAAAAAAAUGAAAUUGAGAGUUGGAAGAUAAAGAAGUGACCAUUAUGUUUGUUAAGUAAAAUAGUUUUGCAAUUAAAAAACUCAUUGGUUCUCUCUUUUAUUUCUGCCUAUUGAUUGUGGUUUUACUAUAAAGGUAGAAUUUUGUCUGUAUUUCUAGGUGUGCUAGAUUAAUAAUGAAUUAUAUUCUUCGGGACAUGGGGGCAUUUCUUGAUUUAGUAUUGGUAGUGGUGGUUGAGAGUUGCAUUGGAUAAGAAUUAGCAAGUAAUGGAUUUUAAGAUGAGUUGGAGUCGCUGACUCUAUUUAUUUUAAUGAGUAUGUCAUGUAUAAGAUUUCUUGGUUUUGACAUUUCCGGCUUAUUAGUCUUGGACCAUUGGUAGGAUGUGGACGAAGGAAAUCACAUGUCAAAUUUCAUUUGAUUUGUGGCUGGAAGGCUAAGGAAGCUGUAGGUCCUGAAGCAAAAUUAAUUGGUCUCCAAAAAUUGCCAUACAACAAACAAAUCUUUUUAAAGGUUUUUUUAACUAAAUAAAAUAUUCCCUCCCAAAUUAGUUUUCAUUUACCAAAUUUUUGUUAUGUGAGUAAAUGAAAACUUUCACAACCAUUACUUCUUUUAAAAUAAUUUUAAGUGUAACUAAAUGUACAUAUUCUAUAUUUAUUUGUCUCUUUUCAUUUUUUAUAUUCCAUCUAGGAUGUCUAAUCAUUAUUUUGUGAAAAAUGAAAAAACUAUAUAUAUUUUUCUUUAUAAUUAGUCAAUUAUUAAUUGGUAAAGUUCUAAUUAAUUUCAUCCGUUAUCUAACUUACCAGAAAGGAACAGACAUCUUCUAAAUACAAAGUUCAAAAUCAAUUACUAAUCUUUUACAAUCAUUUGAAUAUCCAUUUGUUCGUUUUCUGUUGAAAGAACUUUACUUAUUACAAUCUUUUCUUUACACUUCUCUAAGAUAGCAUGAAAUAUGGCAAGCGAUAGUGUUAGAGCAAUUAUCUUUAGCGUAUUUUACUCAAAUGCCAAGAUCACCCUUAAUCAGUCAACUUUAUAUAUGUUCAUUGAUUUUUCUAGGAUCCAUUGUGUAUUAAUUACUCCUCUUUUCGCUCUCUAAUUAAGUAUUUCCCAUUAGGAUCUCUCAUUCUUCUUUCUAUCAUUUUCAUUUCUCUUUAUCUCACUCACACAUUAAUAGAUCUAUUAUUUCAUAAUUGAAUAAUAGUUUUUGCCUUAAUCUUUUCUUGUAUCAUUUUGGUUCUAUGCGUUCUUGCUUUGUUAUUCAAUCCUAAAACUUUUAUUUAUUCAUUUAUUUAUUUUUUACAAACAGAACUUCAUUUAAAACCAACAAAUUUUAGUUUAAAAUAAUUAUUAUUAUGAUGUCAUUGUAACUCAAUACUUCAGCAUAAAUUUUUUUUGACAUGCAACAUGCAUUUUUCUUUGAAUUUUGCUUGAUUAUCAGGCCUGUAAGCAACUAAUACUAUUAAAACUUUACCAUCUUUUUCUAUGUUAUAUUUAUCAUGUAAAUCUUGACUUUUAUCUUUUAUCGAAUAUUCAUAUUUAUCAUGUAAGACAUGAUUUCUAUUAAGUAUUUGUAUUCGCUAAUAAUUAGAUGAAAAUAAGUUUAAGUUACAUUACAUUAUAUAUCCCAUGAAUAUGAAAGUAAUGCUAUUUUUUGGAAUUAUUUUUAUUUUAAACUACUAUUUAAUUUGACUUAAAUUACAUUGUGUUUGAAAAAGAACCUUUUGAGAAAAAUUUUAAAAAUAAAAAAUAUAAGAGCAUGUAGAAUUAAUAUACGAGAAAUUAUUAAAGCCAAGAGGACAGAGAAGAAGAGGAGUAAUUAGUGUUUAAUGGAUUAAAAAAUCAAGAAAAAUAUAUGGAGUUGACUGAUUAAAGAUAACUUUAGCAUUUGAGAAAAUUUUGCUUUGGCCGGAACAUUAUUACUCUGGAUGGAAAUAUUGCAAACCAUGAAAUAUUACUAUAAUUCUUAACAUGUCACUAUUGAAUCAAGAGUUAAGGUUCAUUGGAAAGCAAUCAUUAAACAGUAGUAUAUGAAUUGAUUAUUGUUAUUCUGUAUAACUUUCAGAGUAUGUUUUAUGUUUAGUGUCUUAUAUUCAUUAAAUUUAUUAUUUUAGUUCAUUUAUAUCCAUUUUUUUGGAAAAUUAAAAUUCGAAGAUAAAAGAUGUCCAUGCAAAUGCACUGGUGAAUAACUGGUGGCCUAGUUAUAUUGCUUGCAUAUCCACAGAGUGACCAUGCUAACGCUACAUUAAUACACCAGUCCGUUGGUAAUACUUGUUUGCAUUACUCACACUUUUGCAGUUCUUAUUUACUUGUAUUACUUAUUCUUUCUUCCCAACAAUUCUACAGCCCAUUAUCAUCAUUCCAAUUUAUUUCAGUUUAUUGCAAAGCAUUUGGAUAAUCGGAUGUUCGACCGAGUUUAAUUAAUCAAAUUUAAUAUGAAUUCACUUCAGUCAAAUAGAUUUCAAUAUGGUCUUGGUAAAAACAAAAUUAUGAGAGUGCUCAAUUGGUUUGAAAGUAAUUCUGAGUUCUUGAUUUUUUAUUUUAAUUGACACACACACUCACCAUGUUACAGAUUUUCACUCCACGUUAUUGCAGAUAUUUAAUAUUCUUAACUACUAUUUUCGUUUAUUCUUUUUUCCGUCUCUUCAUUUUCCUUCUUUCUUUUUCUUGAUCACUUGCGUUUUGUGAAAUUAUUUUUCAUAUUUCCAAUAGUUUGCUUUACUUGGCUUUUCAUAUUUGUAAUUAUUUUUCGUCAAUAUCAAUUUCUUCAUAUUUAUGACUAACAAUCUAAUAGGGAUUUAUGCCUUUCCAAAUUGUUAAUUAUUUGGUUAAAAAACCUUUAAAAAUGAUUUGUUUUAUUGUAUGGCAAUUUUUGGGGGCCAAUUAUUUUUCCUUCAAGCCCCACAUCUUUCUUGCUUGGUUUGUUGUAAGAGUUACACAGAUCCUGUUUGAUAACCUAAUUGAAUAUUUAAAUUUAAUGAAUUUAUAUCUUAACAAUUUUGUAUGGCCCCUUAUAACCGCUAAUUUUCUUUUGUAAAUCAAUAAUUAAAACUUAAAACUUAUGCUAUUGGCUUAAUUAUGGGGUUUUGGUUCUGCCGCUGCACUUGAGAUACUCAGCCCCCUUUAAUAAUAAUCAAUGUAAUGCUACCACUUUACCUUGCUCACCUGCAUUUAUUUCACAACAUUUUUGGCUGCAAUUUGUGAAGACGGUGGAAUUGCUCUCCAAUUUCAUAGCCAUCUUGUGGCAACAUAAUGAAAAGUAUAUCAAAUCAAAAGGACUCAUCUAAACAUUCUGACAUUCACUGAUUAUCUCUCAUUCAUAGAUAAAAUAUGGAAAUCGUAAUUCUGCAAAUUCAUCAUAAUAUCUCCAUUAUAACUAUUGAAGAAAAGUUGAAGAGAGAUAAAUUAUUUAUUCUAACUAUUCUUCCAUGGAAACAACAACAACAAAACCAAUUGACAGGAUGCCGAACCUGUGCAAUAAUAAGUACCUACUCGAGAAAAAUACAGAUUUUGUAUAUAGCGGUGAGUAGGGUCGAAUCCACAGGGACUGGGGAUAAUUCGUUUCUGCUAGAGUCCAAGGUAUGGGGGGUUUUGGAUUAAAUGCUAACUAAAUAAAUUAACUGCAGAAAAUAAUUGAUUAAGAGAAAUAAUUAAGGGAAAACUCUAGCCAAGGGUACACUUCAGAAAUGGUUCAGGCACUGAUCAUCGAUUCACAGAUAAUUCCACAUUUAUUAAUAGAUUGGUUAUAGUUGUCAUGCACGCGAUAAACAACCAACCGUUCCUUAAUUUAUCGAGAGUCAAGGUACGACCGUUAACUAUUUCUCUAACCCGGAAACAACCCUAGGUACGACCGUAGGAUUUAAUUUCUAGAUUGCAUUAAUAAUUAGAAAGGCCCAAUCCUAACUAACAAACACGCUACGAGGGUUUGUUUAAAUUAGAUCAUAUGUUCCCCUGACAUAAACCCAAUUACGCCAGUUGCCACUGAGAUAGGGAUAACGAACAAUUACGGAUUCAAUUACCCCUAAUUAGUAAAAUAGCCUAUAUGAAUAAUUAAUUAUUACGUACUAAUCAAUCAUCCACACAAGCUAUAACGGUUAAAAGCAGGAAACAUAUGAAUACCAAUAAAUGAAAGAAGCAAUUAAAAUAAAUUAGAUCUCACAAUAAUUAUUGAAUCAAAUCUUCAAUUGUCCCCUUGACUAGAAUUGAGAAGCUAGUUCUCCAUUAAUGGAGAACCAGCCGUGCGAAAAUAAAACAGUCGGAGCUUUCUAAUGUUUUCAGAUGGAAAAGGGAAACUAAAGCUGAGCCCCCAAUUACACGUGAAUCUGGCCCUUUUAUAUCUUUAGUAGCCGCCGCCCUCGAGAAAGCUAACGUCUGACCCUAGAAAGCAAAAGCUAAGCUAAUGACUAAAUGCCCUCCCGUAAAUCUGGCUUUUUUUCUCCUUUAUAGCGCCGCCAGGAGCCAAGAAAACGUUUGACCCAAUUAAUGAAAUCUUUUGGAGUUUUAAUCCCACGCUUCUCGCGGUUCACGUGAACCCAACCUUCUAAUUGCCUAUUUUUGCUGCUACCAAGUCCGCGGGUCCGGCCAAGAAGGCUGGAGUUAGGCGUGGGCACACCUACUCAUCAAGAAGUUCUCUGAAAUUUGAUUUUAAGCACUUUUCAUUCUUUUUCCUGAAAUAAGCACAAAAUAUCAAAUAUAAAUAGAAUCCGACGAUUAAAAUAAUAUUUAUCUAAAAUCAGGGGGAGAAUAAUUAUAAAUUUAACAUCAAAUUAGGACCUAUCACCAAUGUAAGGCUUUUAACCCAUGUGCCACACUGAUCACAAUAAUUUGCAUAGUGAGUUCUUGCUAAUAGUUGUUGAGUGACUUCCACGCCUUUGCUCAUUAUAAAUACAGGCCCCCUCCACAUUCCAAACACACUCAACCACCUUCUUUGUGCUAUAUUCUGCUUUCUUCUGCCACCACCACCACCCCCACUGCUCCCACAAAAUGGAAAGCUUUUCUCCCACCUGGGCUGCAUAUGCACUUGUGUGGGUUGCAACGGUGGUUAUUGCCCACCUCUCGAAGCAUUUCCAUCAGAGAAAACUCAACCUCCCACCAGGUCCAAGGCAAUGGCCUAUAAUUGGAAACUUAAACCUCAUUGGCACCCUUCCUCAUCGUUCACUCCAUCAACUCUCCCUCACAUAUGGCCCCCUAAUGCACCUUCAAUUCGGCUCCUUCCCAGUUGUCGCUGCCUCCUCUGUGGAGAUGGCCAAAGUUUUCCUCAAAACCAUGGACCUCACAUUUGCAGGGAGGCCUAAAACUGCAGCCGGAAAAUAUACCGCUUAUGAUUACACCAACGUGACUUGGUCCCCUUACGGACCAUACUUGCGCCAGGCACGUAAGAUUUUCCUUACGGAAUUAUUCAGUGCAAAAAGACUAGAAUCAUAUGAACAUAUUCGGGUGGAAGAAAUGAAUUCGCUUCUGCUACAGCUGUUCAAGUCAUUGAGCAAGCCUAUCGUGUUGAGAGAUUAUCUUUCAACAGGGAAUUUGAACGUGAUUAGUAGGAUGGUCCUGGGGAAAAGAUACAUUGUUGAGUCUGAGAACUCAAUUGUCACGCCCGAAGAGUUCAGGCAAAUGCUGGACGAGGUGUUUUUGCUGACUGGUGUGUUUAACAUUGGUGAUUUCAUACCUUGGAUCGAUUUCUUGGAUUUGCAAGGGUAUAUCAAGAGGAUGAAAAUCUUGAGCAAGAAAUUUGAUAGGUUUCUGGAGCAUAUUCUCGAUGAACAUAAUGCCCAGAGGAAGGACGAAACUGAUUGUGUCAGCAAGGACAUGGUGGACGUCCUUCUGGGCCUUGCAGAUGAUCCCACUUUGGAGGUGAAGCUAGAGAGGCAUGGAGUCAAGGCAUUGAUUCUGGUAUAUAUUACUUACAAACAGCAUACCGCAUGCUGUCCAGUUUUAAACGACUGAAAACUUGAGAGAAAAUAUUCAGUGAUCUUUUGAACUUUGAUGAAAAUUUUUCAGUGGAGGCAGAAUUAACAAGAAAAUUCUUUUUAAUCCUUCUAAAAGAAAUUGCUUUUGAUAAAGGUACUCAAGUAAGUAAGAAUAUUGUUGGCCAAGUACAGUCAAUUUGCAGCUUAAAAACGUUUGUGGGCCAAGUCAAUUUGCAACACAAGAAGUUGAUUAGAACUUGAGUUUUGCUGAUAAGUACAUUGGUUCUAUUCAUUUGUUUAUUCUUUGCCAAAUUAAUAUAAUAUCUAUGAUAGUAAGAUUUAUUUCAUGUUCCGGUGGGGAGCACAAAUAAUAAUUCUUAGGAAAUUCCAAGCCUAUUAUAGGAAAUUUAUUUUGUGCCCUGUUUCUGCAAGAAAUAACCACUUUUUUUGCAAUUUUUUUUAGGUUAUUCUCUAAACACGGUUUUUAACUAAUUUUUUUUAAUUACGUUUUCAUUCAGAUAUCACAUUCGGAACAUUGAAACAUAAAAAAGUUUAAGAACUUCAAUAAUUGGACUAAGUUUCUUGCUGCACUUUGCGUAAUGAUUGAACUCUAGGACCUACUUGCUGGUGGAACCGAGACCUCAGCGACUACAGUAGAAUGGGCCAUUUCGGAGCUACUGAAAAACCCAGAAAUAUUCAACAAGGCAGCCGAAGAACUCGACCAUGUUAUCGGUCAGAAUCGAUGGGUGAACGAGAAGGACAUGCCAAAUCUUCCUUACAUAGAGGCUAUUGUUAAAGAAACAAUGCGUAUGCAUCCCGUGGUCCCAUUGCUAGUGCCAAGAUGUGCUCGCGAAGAUUGCAAAGUUGCAGGGUACGAUAUUCAAAAGGGAACUCGAGUCAUCGUCAACGUUUGGUCAAUUGUGAGGGACCCUGAAUUGUGGGAGAAGCCAGAGGUAUUUUGCCCCGACAGAUUCAUGGGAAAGGACAUUGACUUCAAAGGGCAAGACUGUAAGUUCUUGCCAUUUGGUUCUGGAAGAAGAAUGUGCCCAGGGUAUAGUUUAGGCCUCAAGGUUAUCCAAUCUAGUUUGGCCAAUCUUUUACAUGGAUACAGAUGGAAGUUGCCAAAUGACAUGAAGCCUGAGGACUUGGACAUGGAAGAAAUAUUUGGGCUUACUACACCAAGAAAGAUCCCACUUGUUGCCAUUGUUGAGCCUCGGCUUCCUCGUAAUCUUUAUUCACUAUGAUUCACUACGUAUCUGUUUGAUCUCC